AAAAAUCUUCAACUCCUUCGAGAAUGUGGAAUAGAAGGGCUGGGUAAUGUGUCCCAUUUAGAUGAGGCCGAGAGAUUACAACUUUACAAUCAGCAAAACCUCCUUCGUUUGCGUCUUCGGUUUGGUGGAGUCGUAGAUGGGGAAGAUGAAGAAAGGAGGAGGAAGAAUGAUAAAGACAAACAACUUCUUGAAGCUUUACAACCGCCUUUGAGUGUAGAGGAAUUAGGGAUUGAAUCCUAUGGAGGCGACAUUUUUCCCAAAUGGUUGACUUCACUAACCAAUCUAAGGAAUUUAACACUUUCCUCGUGCGCUAACUGUGAGCAUUUGCCUCCUUUGGGAAAAUUGCCUCUGAAAAAACUCGAACUACUCGACUUGGAAAGUGUAAAAAGAGUGGGUAAUGAGUUUUUGGGAAUAGAAGAAAGCAGUGAGGAUGACCCAUCUUCAUCUUCAUCGUCACCAUCAGUUAUUGCCUUCCCCAAAUUGAAAUCACUCGAAAUUGACGGAAUGAAAGAACUGGAAGAGUGGAAUUACAGGAUUACGAGGAAGGAAAACAUCUCCAUCAUGCCCCGUCUUUCUUCCUUGCAAAUUAUGAAUUGCCGCAAAUUAAAGGCGCUGCCGGAUUACCUUCUUCAAACGAUAGCACUGCAGAAACUGGGUAUUUAUUAUUGUGAUCUUCUAGAAGAACUGCCCAUUCUAGAAGAUCGCAGGACAACAGACAUACCACGUCUUUCUUCCUUGGCGAUUUGGUAUUGCCCCAAAUUAAAGGUGCUGCCGGAUUACCUCCUUCGAACGACGACGCUGCAGGUAUUGAGUAUUAUGGAAUGUCCUCUUCUAGAAGGACAUUAUAGAGAGGGCAAAGGAGAAGACUGGCAUAAGGUAUCUCACAUUCCCUGCAUCAUGUGGUUGCCGUCGUUGUAAGAUAUCACUCGCUGGUAAUUUCUCCUCCUCCUCUGAUUUACUUCGUUGUUGCUUGCAAUGAAAUUAAUAAAAAUAAUUAUAUUUUGAAUUAAAAUUCUAUAUAGAAUCAAUCAUGGUAUAAAUAUGUAAAACUUCCUAGUUAUUAAAUCUGUUUAACUUGUUUUCUAAAGAUUAAAUUAAAAAAAAGUGUAGUCUGUUGAAAUUUCUAUAUUUACUUCUAAAAAAUAUGUGCUCUUUUGUAAAAUUUCAUACCACAUCAUAGAAAAUCCCAAUGUAAUUUAUUUUUUAAUGUACAAAAAUUUGUUAUGUGUAACUUCCUGAGAGGCAAAAUCUCUGGGAUACAUUUGCAAUAAUGUUGAAAAAUAAAUUAUCAAUUUUAUCUUGUAUAAUGAUAAUCAUAUUUUUUUAUAUAUAAUUUAUGUGACAUUAAUUCUUUAAAGUAAUUGUGUAAUUGUUUUUAGUAGUACAUUAGCCCACUUUAUUUUAUUUCAUAUGAGUUUAAUUAUGUUCACCAGGGAUUCGAGGAAAUGUCAGAACUACACUAGCAAUUCACAGGUCCAAUCUAAUUUGGUUUUAAUGAUGCAGGCAGGAGAGCAAGACUAUGAAAAUGAAAAGUUUAGCCAAAGGAUUGCUAAAAUGUUCUGCUGGUAAUUCACUUGCUUUAUUUUAUAGAAUUUCAUUUCCAUCUUCUUCUAUUGAUAUCUUGUUGUGAAUAAACAAGAACAGAGAAGUAAAUGAUUGAACCACAGAGAAGUAAAGAUAUAUCCAAAUUCGAUUAUUAUGAUGAUUAAAGCAAGCUCAAGCUCAAGCAUUGCAUUUUUUAUUUUAUUUAGUUUAUAGAAUUUUCAUUUCCACCUGCAUUUCAUUUUUAUUUCAUUUUUAGGUUGACGUUGAAGACUCUAUGGAGAACAUUGGGGUAACCAAGGAUUAUCACUGUGGUUAUUGUGCAACGUUUGGUUGCGGGACUUUGGAGAAGGAAGUGAUGGCCGGGUCUGCUCUGUUUCAAUUGAGGAUGGACAGCUGCCUGAAAGACAUGAUGAUUAUUAUUGCACGAUGUUAAGGUGCUAAGAUCAUCAUUUCUAUCUUGCUUCAUUCUUGGAAUCAUUUAUCCUAUAUAAACAUAUUGAAUUGUGCUAAUAUUAUCAUAUGCGUCAAUGGAGGCAGGAAUUUGGUGUUGACACUAUUAUACAGGUAACCACACUUCAUAGUUUGCACAAAUUUGCGUUGUCAGAAUAUCCUUUAAUAUUCAUUGUGUUUCUGUGUGUUAUCAGGUUAUCAUCUCCAAGGGUUUGAAAGAGCCUUUGCAGUAAAGUCAGUUGUCACCAGCUCGUGCAAUUGCGCAUUCAUUCAUAGUACUUCAAUAUUGGGUUUUCAAGUUUUGUAUGUUUAGUCGAUUAAAAUGUUUAGUCAAUCAUUCUUAAUCAUUUCUGAUUUUCAAGUUCUUUAGGGCCAUAAACAGUUUUUCAAACUCAUUCUUAUUUUUUAGGUUGAUUUCCUACUCGUGGAAGUCCAAGGAUUAGGCUGGCGAUGGAACUACUACCUCUGUUGUUAUUGUGCAAGGUUUGAUCGCUGGACCUUGAACAAGAAAGCCUUACAUGCAUUCUGUAAUUGAAGCGUUCUCUAAAGCAAAAGAGCAGUAGAAGGAAUAGUGAUGGCCGGAUAUGCUCUAUCUUAAUUGAAGAUCUCUGUGAUGUUGAGGAGCUAAUGAUUGUUAAGGCGUAUUUUCAUGAACUUCCUUUCUUAACAAAUGUUUCAAUGCUGGCUGUAGUAACAAUUUCAUAUCUUGCAUCUCUCGGGUGCAUCAUGUUCACAGGUUUGAAAAAGCAUUUGUGGUAAUGCUUUAAAGCUUGUACAAUGGCUGUGAAAAGGCACAUUCAAUUAGGUACGUUUUGGUGCGGUCUCCCAAUGCUAAUAUUAUAUUUUGUAUAGCAAUUAAAAUUUAGCUAUACAAUUUUAAUAUGCAAUAAAUCAUUGUAUACAAAGUUUUCUAUUAAUUAUAUGGUGACUGAAAUUUUAAUUAUCAUAUCAAUUUAAAUUUUUUUGUAACUCUCUUUUACUUUGCUUGUACAGAGUACCUGUUUUGGUUGAUAUGUCUAAUUUGUAGAAAUUCAUUUCCAUCGGUUUCCAUUGGCUUUAGCACAAACCGAAACAGAGCUCUGGGGAAAAGUUUUACUUCUUGUGAUAUUAUGCCUUUGUUUCUUCAUUCAUCAUAUUUUUCGAAUUCAUGCUCUCAUUCAGAGGGUAAAGCCUUUUCCAGGCUGCUUUGUAGCCAAACUUUGACGCCUUUGAUGCAUGACUGUCAUUCUUUUUCUUGGUUAUUCAAACUUUCAGUUAUAUAUUAUGUGAAAGAUUCUUUUUCUUAUUAAAGUACAUUGUUGGUUUUUUCUUUUUCCUUCAUUUUGUCUGAAUUAAAGCUAAAAUUGUAAGUUUUUUUUUAAUUGGAAAAUAUUAAUAUUUCAUUAAACAAAUAACAACAAUACAACUACUUGCAGUACAUCACUAGUUCACAUUACAAAGAUUAAAAUACAGAGAUCUGUUUUAGUUACAGAGAUCUAUUACAGUAAUCAAUUGAAUUAACCCCUAAAAGUUUAUUAAAGAAUAGGAAGAAACACAUGUACACUAAAAGAAAAACUUCCAUUCGUAAUGCACAUAUAAUUCAAGCUCCAUUUGGGGUUCCAUGGCUCUUUCGAAAUUAUCUCCACCACCAUAUUUAUGCUUUCCAGCUAGUACCAAAAUAGAUUUACCGUAAAAAUUGAUUCACACCCUCUAACUUUACAAACAUGAGAAACAUAGACUCUAGAUCUAAAAGUUGAAGGGUUAUGUACUGGCAAAUAGAAAUUAAACCAACAUUAUCACUAUAACAGAUACAUUAUUACCAUCAAAGAUCAAGAUCUGAAUGGAUGCACAGCAGCCAUCGUCAAGACCAAAAGAGGAAGAAAUUGAAAUAGAACAACCACCUUAAGGUGGAGAAGGCCAGAACAAGACACCCAUCCUCAAAUCAUAUGGAAGAGGUGGGUGCAACCAAAAAAAAAAAAAAAGAGAGAAUCCACUGGAGAAGGCAAGAAAGAUUUCUGCCUCCAAAGAUUUGGUGAGGAAGAGAUGAGGAAUUUGGAGAGGAAAAGUUUCGGAGAGAUCUAGAGUUUGGCUUUAAAAAUGUGUUUUAAAGAAAAAGUUGUUGAGAGGAAACGAGACCAAUUAGAUCAUGCAAGAAGUUAAUUUUUUUUAAAUAAAAAAGGAGAAAUGAUGAUCUUACAAAGUUUGAAUAUAAAGUUUAAAAUCUAAAAUUAAUGACUUGACAAUCGAUGCAUUAUUAGCCUAAUAGAGUAAGAAGUCCCUGCUAAAGAAUUCAAUAUUCUACCCAGAAUACUUCUUUCUAUUGCAAUUAAAUGAUGAUUAUUUGUUUUUAUCAUGAAAGCUAAAAUAACUUUGUGAGUAAUUUGAUCCUUUUGCAGUAUAAAAAUAAAUUCAGAAAUGGGCACCAUUCUUCCUUUGUUUAAAUCAUGGUCUCCACGGAAGUAAAAUUUUGGUUACUACACGUAAUGAGUUAGUUGCACGUAUGAUGGGAUCAACAAAUAUUAUCUUCAUUGAGCAAUUGAUUGAAGAGGAUUGCUAGUCGGUUUUCAAGCGAUUAGCAUUUUUCGGUCACUCUUUCGAGGAUUGUGAAAGAUUAGAACCAAUCGGCCGAAAAAUUGCACGCAAGUGCAAAGGCCUGCCUCUUGCUGCAAAGGUAAUAAGGAAUCUCUCGCGUUCAAAAAGUGCAAUAAACGACUGGCAAAGAAUUUUAGAUAGUGAAAUGUGGAAGGCAGAAGAGAUUGGGAAAGGUCUUUUGACUCCUUUAUUGUUGAGUUAUAAUGAUUUGUCGUCCAAUUCUAUGGUAAAACAAUAUUUUUCAUUUUGUGCUGUCUUUCCGAAAGACUACAAUAUGUAUAAAGAGGAGCUAAUUUCACUAUGGAUGGCUCAAGGUUACCUUAAUGCAGAAGAAUAUGAAGAGAUGGAGAUGACUGGGGAAGAGUGUUUCAACAUUUUAGCAACACACUCUUUCUUUCAAGAGUUUGAGAAAAAUGAUGAUGAUGAUAUUAUGAGUUGCAAGAUGCAUGACAUAGUACAUGAUUUUGCUCAAUUUGUAAGUAGCAAAGAAUGUUUGUGGCUAGAAAUUAAUGGUACCAAAGAAUCAGUCAUAAACUCUUUUGGUGGGAAAGUCCGUCCCUUAGGUUAAAGUUUAAAGGAGGCGCUUUAUUUCCUAUGUCCAUUCAUGGACUUAAUAGAUCGCGUACCCUCCUAAUUGAUUAUGAAAGUCCUUCCAAUUCGUCUCUUGAUAGUAGCAUCCUUCCUGAGUUAUUUAGUAAAUUGGCAUGUUUAAGAGCAUUAGUUAUAAGGCAAUCAUUCUUGCUUUGUCGUCCUGACCCAAAUUUGAUUAGAGAAAUUCCAGAAGAUGUCGGGAAAUUGAUGCUUUUAAAAUAUCUUAAUUUGUCUGAAUUACACAUAGAGAGACUGCCUGAGACUUUGUGUGAAUUAUAUAAUUUACAAAAGCUAGAUAUUAGGGGGUGCCGAAAUCUAAGAGAAUUGCCUGCAGGGAUUGGGAAGUUAAAGAACAUGAGGAGUUUGCUAAAUGGUCUUACUUGUUCGUUGAAGUACAUGCCAAUAGGAUUUUCCAAAUUAACCAAUCUUCGAACAUUAGACAAGUUUGCUGUGGGUGGAGGUGUUGAUGGUGGCAGUACGUGGAGGCUUGAAUGUCUGAAAAAUCUUCAACUCCUUCGAGAAUGUGGAAUAGAAGGGCUGAGUAAUUUGUCACAUGUAGAUGAGGCUGAGAGAUUAGAACUCAAAAAUAUGGAAAACCUCCUUCGUUUGUAUCUUUUGUUUGAAGUUGUAGAUUGGGAAGAUAAAGAAGAGGAUGAAGAUGAAGGUGGGGAAGAUGAAGGUGAGGAUGGGGGAUAUGAAGAAGAAGAAGGAGGUGAAGUUGUAAAUGGGGAAGAUGAAGAAAGGAGCAGGAAGAAUGAGAAAGAUGAACAACUUCUUGAAGCCUUACAGCCGCCUUUGAAUGUAGAGGAAUUAUGGAUUUUAUUAUAUGGAGGCAACAUUUUUCCCAAAUGGUUGACUUCGCUAACCAAUAUAAGGAAUUUAUUUCUUCACAGGUGUCUUAACUGUGAGCAUUUGCCUCCUCUGGGAAAAUUGCCUCUGGAAAAACUCGCCCUGCAAAAUUUGAAUAGUGUAAAAAGAGUGGGUAAUGAGGUUUUGGGAAUAGAGGAAAGUAGUGAUGAUGACCCGUCUUCAUCUUCAUCAUCAUCAUCAGUUAUUGCCUUCCCCAAAUUGAAAUCACUCAAAAUUUGGGACAUGGAAGAAUUGGAAGAGUGGGAUUACACGGUUACGAGGAAGGAAAACAUCUCCAUCAUGCCACGUCUUUCUUCCUUGGAAAUUGAUUGUUGCCCCAAAUUAAAGGUGUUGCCAGAUGACCUUCUUCAAACGUCGACACUGCAGGAAUUGAGUAUUGGGGGAUGUCCUAUUCUAGAAGACUGGCAUAAGAUAUCUCACAUUCCCCACAUCGAGUUUUAAAUUCUCGAACGGUUGCAAUUACUAUAACCCGCCGGUAAUUUCUCCUCCUCCUCUGUUUUGCUUCAUUGUUACUUGUAAUGAAAUUAAUAAUAAUAAUGAUAAUAAUUAAAUUUUGAAUUAAAUUUCUAUAUUUUGCCAAUGUCUCAUAGGAAUGUGCAAUAUUUUCUAAUAUUUUGAUUUUUGUAUUGAAUAUAACUAUUUACUUCAGUGUACGAUAAUUUGUUACGUGAAACUUCUUGAGAGACUGAAUUUCUGGGGUACUUUGUAGUAAUGUUGAAAACUAAGUGAUGGCUGGGUCUGCUCUGUUUCAGUUGAGGAUGGAUUGCUGCCUGGAAGACAUGCUGAUUAUUAUUGCAUGAUAUUAAGGUGCUGAGAUCAUCAUUUCUAUCUUGUUUCUUUCUUUGAACGGUUUAUCCUCUAUAAGCAUAUGGAAUUAUGUUAGUAUUAUCACUUCUUCACCCAAUUUUCACUGUUGGUUGUAAUAACCAUUUCAGGUUCUCAAAAGCUACAAAGCAAAGCAUCUUUGGGCUGAUCAUAUAUUUCAAUUGACGAAGGAAUUCGAUGUUGGCACUAUUAUGCAGGUAACCAGAGUUGAUAAUUUGUACAAAUUUGCAUUGUCAGAAUACCCUUCAUAUUCACCGUGUUUCUUUGUGUAGGUAUGUAGAGUAUCAUCUUCAAGGGUUGUAAGAGCCUUUGCAGUAAAUUUAGCUGCUAGUGCAAUUGCUCAUUCAUCGAAGUACAAUUUUGGAUUUUCAAGGUUUGUAUGCUCAGUUGUAAUUAAAAUGCUUAGUCACUUAUUCCUAAUCUUUCUGAUUUUCAAGUUAUUUUAGGUCCAUAAACAGUUUUCACACAUGUUUCAAUGCUUCUUGUAAUGACAAUUUCAUAUCUUGCAUCUCUAAUGUGCAUCAUGUUUGAAACAGCUUUCGCGGUAAAGUCUUCGAUGCUUGUACAAUGGCUGUGAAGAGGCACACUAAAUUCGGUACAUUUUGGUACGGCCUCCUAAUGCUGGUAUAAUGUUGUGUAUAUUUAGUUUGCAAUUAAAACUUAGGUAUACAAAUCUUAAUCUGCAAUAGAUCAUAGUGUACAAAGUUUCUAUUAAUGAUAUGGUGACUGAAAGUUUAAUUAUCUUAAAAUUUUUCUAUGACUCUCUUUUACUUUCUUUGUACAGAGUACUUGUUUUGGCUGAUGUGUCUAAUUCAUAGAAAUUCAUUUCCAUCGGUUUCCAUUGGUUUGAGCACAAACAGAAACAGAGGUCUGAGGAGAAGUUUCACUUCUUGCGGUAUUAUGCCUUUGUUUCUUUAUUCACCAUAUUUGUUCGAAUUCAUGCCCUCAUUAAGAAUUUAAAGCCUUUUCCAGGCAGCUUUGUAGCCAAAUUUUGAUGCCAUAAAUGCAUGAUUGUCAUUUAGAUUUUCCGAAUAUUUGUUAUUUGGAGAAAUAUUGUUAAAAGGGCAUUUGAUUAGCUACUUACCCUAUGAAUUUAGUUGCCAAUAAUAGAUUGAAAUUGAGUAGGCUAAUGGUUGAGGAAAGUUAUUGUCUUAAUUAAAUUACAGGUGAUAAGAUGUUGCUUGUGUAAUCAGAUAAAUGGGGCAAAUGUCAGAACAAAGAUUGUUCAGUGCUGCUGGUAGGGCAAGGAUGAUGAUGGUGAGGAAGAUUGUUCACAAGCCAAGUAGAGCCCUCCAUUUUGAGAAAUAUCAUCCUCAAAUUUGAAUUGUUGAGCAUAUGAAGUGAUGCUAAAGCCUUAAUAUUAAGUCUUUCUGAAAGUUUCAUUUGAAUGAAUUUUCGGAGAUUGAAUGUUCUUAGCGUGAGUAAGAAAAUUAAGCACAUAUCUGCGAUUUGGAUCGUCGGUGAAUGUUUUCCUUUAAUAUUUGUACAAACCCGUUUCUUAGUAAAAUUUUCUUCAUGUCUUUUACUAUGACAUAGGCUAAUAGCCGUACCACAUAACAUUAUCUUCUUAUUUCUUUAUGCUUGGUUUUGCUACAUAUAAGAAUGCAAUUUUGUAACUACUUAACUCUGCUUCGGCAAAGUUAAGUAGUUACAAAAAUUUUUUUUUUUCGUUUUUCUUUCUCCGAUAAAAUUGCCACAAAUGGAAGCGAUUGGCUUGAUUUUUGCUUCUGUAAAAAGUGGUGGGAGCAAUGUCUUGUGUACCCGCAAGUUAUAAAUCGUCAUAGUUUAAAUGACGAAUCCCGAGUUGCCAUCCAAACUAAAGAAAUUGCAAAUUAAGUAGUUCAUUACAAAUGAUAUAUUUUGAGUUGCUAAUUAUUAAGUAUUUCAUUCAAAAAUGUUCUCGUUCCCACAGUUUCUAAUGUUUAAAGUGCAUCAUUGCUCUACUUCCGUCAUAACAGCAUAAGAGAAUUUAACAUAAUACUGAGAAAAUGAUUAUUUUACCCUAAAUGUAAAUGAUUAUUCUACCCUUAACAUAAAAUAACUAAUUUGCCCUAAUUUAAUAACGAAAAAAAUAGAUGACUGCAAUAUAGAUAUUAAAUAAUAAAUAAAAUAAAAAAUAAGAAUUAAAACUAAAAUAAUUAAAAGAGAGCUCAAGAGAAAACGCACUUUAAUCUGGUACCUGUACCCGUGGAUCGUGGCGAUGGCGGAUUGGGGCUUAUUACCAAGUCGUUUAAGAAUUUUAAACUUUCAAAUUUUUUUUAAACCUUGAAUUUUUUAGUUUAUUGGUUAAGUGAUAAAAUUUGGUGGUAGUUUGAUACUGUGUUGUAUGUUGUGUUAUUUUAGCUCAUUAACUUUGUUAUGUAAUUCUUCUUUAAAUACGACGUCGUUUUUGUCCAUUAAGAGUCCAAUGACAAGUUUAUCAUUCUGACAUGAGUAAAAUUCUAACGGCGUGAUGACAAUAGUGUAGAAAUGAUAGAUUUUGUAAACAUCAGGUGGAAUUGUUAAAAAAAAAAAUGUGGUCGUGUAUUUUUUAUAAAGUCUAAAACAUCAAGUGAUUAGAGAAUAUUUGUGCUUAAGUAUUUGAUUCAAAAAAAUUUCCACUCCUAGACUAUUUAAGUUGUAACCAAAACUGAGAAUUUUUUUUUUUUUUUGCAUGAUGAAUCUCGAUAUUUAGGAUGAAUAUUUUAAUAUUUAAGCUUAAUGGUCACCCACUAUUGGUAGAAGAAUUUUUAUUCUAACACUAUACAAUUUUCGUGUGAGGUGGUCUUGGGCUUAUCUCAACCUUAAAAGUCAAAAGCUAGCUCAAUAAGUGAGAUUUUUUUCUCACACUUAUGAAAUCACCACGAGCUCCUCCCACAACCAAUGUGGGAUAAUCCCAACAAUCUCCCCUCACUCAUCGAGCCUUGGGUUGGAAGCAUAAACAUCAAUUCUCCCUAUUAGAUUGUUGGUUGAGUUGUUGGUGAACCUGAGCUUUGAUACUAAUGUUAGAUGGUCUUGGGCUUCUCUCGACUUCAAAAGCUAGCUCAAAGAGAGAGAUAUUCCCUCACAUUUAUGAGGUCAUUAUCAGCCUCUUCCACAAUCGAUGUCGGCUAACCCGACAUUUCUCUCUCUAUAUAAUACAUAAGUUGGAUAAUAAAUUUAUAUCUCAAUCUAGGUAUAAACAUUAAUUUUAUUUCUUUUUAUCAAUCAUUAUCCUAUUGGGUCUAUCGACUCACCGUACAAAAUGUUGUAAAACUUCCCCGCCGAAGAGACUUUGGUAGCUUUGAGUUUGUAAAUCAAGUUCCUAUCCGUCGUCCCUCCUAAUCCAUUCUUCGGCCAAGUACGCCUGACAUUCUUGUACCUUACAACGUCAUAUUUGGCACAAAAUUCAUGAAACUUAAACCAAACACUAAACUAUUAUUAGUUCUCAACAUUUUAUAUCAUUCGACGUUUUGUGUCAGAAUAAAUAUUUUAUCUUUGAACUUCUCAAGCACUUAUUCAUGGCUUAUUUCUCAACUCACUAUGGAUUAAUGAUGCUGAUGAAAUUGUGGAUUAACCAGACAAUAUUGUAAUUAUUACACAUACACACAAGCACACGUACAUACGUACAAAAGCAUAUAGGAGUUGACCUUGCUCAGGAUUUAAAAAAAAUGAAUAAAAUUUUCCAAUAAUUAAUUAAGAUAAAAAAGAUCAUUAAAACCCGAGUACCCCUCGCAAUUGUGUCACUUGAAUUCUCUGUAUUUAUGCACAUAUAAUAUUUUGAAUGAAUCUAUAAUGAUGUUAAUUUUUUAAUGAACUUAAUCUUAAAUUAAAAUUUUCUUUUGAAAAAAAAGAAGAAAUCUUAAAUAUUAUAAAAUAUAGAUCAGUUGGAAAACUAUUCCUAGAAAUGCAUCUUAGUUUUAUUCUUGGAAAAUGUUUCCUUUCGCACUUGCGAGGAAUUAGAAAUUGAACAAUAAUUUUUAGACUUUUCAUUGUCUUUGUGGUUAUAUGGUUGUCUUUAAUAUAAAUAUAUGAUCCCGGAGGCCAAAUGUCUAAGUCACAUGCAUUUACCUAAUACUUUUUUCUUUUUUCUUUGUUUUUCGGAUAGGGCAAUUAUUUAAUACCUUGAAGAAAGAGAGAUAAAAUAUAAUGCAUGCCAAUUUGUUGCAACAAAGCUUUCAUAUCAAGCGUUGGCAUAAAUUAUUAUGCCAAUUUGUUCAAGACAAUAUCUUUAGUUGGCAUGUAAGUUUCAUUAGCCGGCGUCUACUCUUAAUUUAUGUCAAAUUAAGUAAUCGCUCCGCCCCAAUAAUGUUGCCUUUGAUCUCUCAGCCCCAGUAAAAGAAUUGGCUAAAAGAGAAUGUUGGUCACUGUUUAAGCAAGUAUGCUUUUGGCGGUCCUUUGAGGAUCUUCAAAAUUUAGAACUAAUAACCAAUCAAAUGAAAAAUUGCAUACAAGUGUAAAAGCUUACCCCUUAAUGCAUAGGUAAUAGGAAUUCUCUUGCUCAACAUAUACACCCUUUUCUUUAUAAUCUUUUACUUUUGCUCUUAAGCUAAAGCAUUAAAAGGCCCAAUAUCCACUCUUUAUAUAUAGUAGUUUCUGGUCCGGGAUCAUAAAGUGCGGGAAAUAUUCGGAAAAAUUUUAAAAUCGUGGGGUUUUAAAUGCUUAAAACUUAAAGUGCUUAAACUGAACGGUUAAUAUGUUUUCCUGGACGUUCCCGCAUUUUAAAAUUCCGGACUGUAACAUUUCUCUCUCUCUCUCUCUCUUUAUAUAUAUAUAUAUAUAUAUAUAUAUAUAUAUAUAUAUAGGGAGAAUGCCAAUUUCCCCCCAUAUUGUAAUCAAUUUAUAUCAUUUAUGUCCUACUCUUAUAUAAUAGCCAAUAACUCCUGGAUAGCAUAAUAUAACAAUAUUAUCUUUAAUUUUAAAUACACUUUUAUUUAUAUUUAUUAUAAAUUAAAUAAAACAUGUGAAUGAAAACUAAAAUAAAUAUUAAAUAUUAAAAACAAUAAAUAUAUGUUUUGAUGUGAAUAAAAAAUUAAUAGUAAAAUAUUUUUCUUGUACUUCUUUUAUUUACAAACAUUUUCUAAUAAUACAUAUAUAAGAAAAUUAUUAUAAAAUAAUUAUAAAUUAAUAUAAAUUAAUAAUAAAAUAGUAUAAAAUUAAUAAUAAAAUAUUUUUCUUGUACUUUUGUAUUUUAUAUAUUUAUUAUAAGAAAAUGUUUAUAAAACAAAAAUACAAAAAAAUUUAUUAUUAAUUUUUUUAUUCACAUCAAGACGUAUAUUUCUUGUUUUUAAUAAAUUUUUUUUUUACCAUUCAAUAUGAUUUGUUUAAUGUAUAAUAAAUAUGAAUAAAGGUGUAUUUGAAAAUAAAAAUAAUAUUGUAGGAAACAUUUACCAUUUUCUAAGAGAAGCUUAAGAGUGAGUAAAGGCUUGUUUAAACCAGAUAUUUUGAGCCAUAUAUUUUAAAAUACCUCAAGGCACCCUCAUUGUUAAAUAUGCUAUAUUUCUACUCUUACUUUUUCUUUCCUUUUAUAAUAUUACCCUUGCAACAAUAUUCUAACCUUUUUGAGGAUAUCAAUGAAAGAAAAAAAAUUAAUUUAUCAAAAUUUGCCUUAAAAGUAACAUAAAAAAUUCCACAAAUUUUUAUGUUAUUAUUUUACUUUUAGGAUUAAUUUGGUAAAUUAAUUUUUUAUAAAAUAACUAUUAGUAAAAUUGUUGCAAAUAUAUUAAACAUUUCUUUAAGUUGGAUAAUAUUGAUUUAUUUAUAAAUAAAUUAUUGGCAAUUAGUUCUUUCAUACUGAAAUUUAUUAGUUAAUUUGCUAAUCAAUAAUUAUUGGUUAAUACGCUAAUAAACUUUUAUAGAUAAAUUAAUUAAUGUCAAGAAUAUUAUUGCAAGGUAUUAUUAUAAAAGCAAAUAGAAAGUAAGUGCAAGAAUGUAAUAUAUUUAAUUAUAAAGGUAUUUUGAGAUAUUUUUGAAAUUAUAAGAACUAAACAAGCAUUUACCAGUUGAGAGAAGAUGAAAUGGGAAAAAUUCAAGGGUUAGGAUAUAUGAUGAGUUAAGGAUUAGGUCUUGUAAAAUCUUGAUUUGGGGAGAUGAUUUUGGAGUGUUUCAACCCUAAAUUCAUUUGGGAAGACUCAUUGACGUACACAUUAAAGGUGGAAAGUGUAGAGAGAGAGAGAAGGAGAAAGUGUGUGUUUAGAGUGAGAGAUGUGUAAUUCAAGUAAACAAGUUGGAUACUUGGAUUUCUCACUAAAUAGAGUAAGAUUUCCAUCAUUCUAUCAUUAUUUAUGCUAAAUUUAAUUUAAAGAUUUGUUUAUUUUAUUUAAAUUAAUGUUUCCAACAUAUGGUAAAGUGGUACGAAGAUAAAUUUUGUAAUUUGUGGAUUACUUUAGGUGCACACAGCACCAACAAGGCAUUGUAGAGCCAAAAAGACUUAGCACUUGAUGUUUCUGGUUCGAUAUAUAAAUAGCUAAUAAUUGUGUAUUAUGUUUAUGUAGUUUAUGGUUAGUAAUGAGAUUGGUGGUAAUGUAGCUCUAUAAUUAACUAUUUAUUUCCAAAACUAAGGAACUUCAUAUCGUAUUUUCUUCCAAAACUAAGGAGCUUCAUAUCAUGUAUUUCAUUAAAAAAUAGUCUCACUCUUAGACUUUAUGAGUUGCUGUGAAAAAUAAAUGAUGAUAAAUUUUCAUACAAAUUUAUUUUUAUAAAUUGAUACGACAUUAGUUCAUUGGUUGCAUGAAAUAUAAAAGCAGGUAGCAGUUGGUCCUUUGAGGAUCAUAAAAUUUAGAACCAAUCGGUCUAAAAAUUGCAUGCAAGUGCAAAGGUCUGCUCUUGUUGCAAAGGUAAUAGAGAAUCUCUUAUUCUCUAAAAGAGUAGUAGAAGAAUAGAAAAGAAUUCUAGAUGGUGAUAUGUGGAAGCUAGAAGAGAUAAGGAAAGGUCUUUUGGCUCCUUUAUUGUUGAGUUAUAUUGCUAUGCCAUCCAUGGUAAAAUGAUUUUUCUCAUAUUGUGCUGUCUUUUCAAAAGACUACAACAUGUAUAAAGAGGAACUAAUUACCCUAUGGAUGACUUAAAGUUACCUUAGUAUAACUAAUUACCCGGCGUCGGAGGGUUUACACCGGGAAAACACUCGGCGUGCUCUGACUUGUCUCUGUGUACGCAGGAGUUUGCGGAGAAGAAGCCUUACGAGGAGAGAUCCUGAUCGUGGUCGAGUUGGUUGAGGAGAGAGCUUGGUCGUGGUCGAGCAGGGAACCAAAAUCUCGCAUCAACACAGUUUCUGUUGCAAUUGUAUUGGCCUGGGUUUAGGGAACUGUCAACUUUCAGAAGAAGAUGGAGUUUCUCAAACCAAAUCUAAGAAGAUAUCUCACAUUCCCCACAUGGUCUCAACGCACAGGUAAGUUCUUCUCUAGCUCUGUUUUUCAUUGUUUGUUAUUUUUAAUGUAACUAAGAAGCAGAGUUAAUCUCUUAUCUUGUCCUUGCUUUGAGAAAACCUGCUUUUACAUCUAUUUUUAAUUCACAUGUCCACAGUAAUUUCAUUUUAGUUUGAGCUGAGUGAUAACUGUUCAAGGCUCACUUACUCAUUGGGAGAAGCUGCAUGACGCAGGCUGCAAGGAUUUAGAUUUUCAUUCGAAGGCUCACUUACUCAUAGUGUGCAUGUUUCGUUACGAUUAAAAUGAUUAGUCUCUUGUUCUUAAGUAUACAAUUUCCAAUGGAUUUGAUAGAGCGGUCAUCAACCAUAUUGAUGUUAUUGGAGUAGCACUGUUCUUAAGCACUGCUUUGAGGUCUCUCCCUCUCUAUAUACAUUGAUAGACUAUUCUGGUCGUACCAAAUUAUCCUUGUUUUAUUGUUUUGUUUGUUAAACUUUGACUGGGGGAAUCUGUUUAUUUGUCUGAUAUGAUGUUAGUGUGGUUUCGAUUGAAGUGUGUUGAUCUAUCACCAAGUAUUAUUUCAAUUUUUCUUUACCUAAUCAACUUGCAUACUUUCCAAGUCUAGAUCCUUAACAAUAGUGAGACUCCGCUACAGAAGUACGAUUUCUCUAGUUUUGUAGUUAAAUACGUAAGAAUAGUUUUAAAUUAACAGAACUCUGAGAUAGUUCUCUGAGGAAAUACAAGUGGUGAAUAUGGUUCCAACUUUUAAGUGCCUUAAGAUUCCCAUUUGUUCAGCCCUGUGCGUAAACAAUCAGUAAUUUCUGUCCAAAUUCUUCUUUAAUGCCUAUAUGUGUUGGACUUUGUCUACUGUUCAACUUCUCAAAUGGAUUCCAUGCAGGGUUUUGAAUGUCCAAUUAGGAGAAAGAUCAAGGCUUGCUUGGCUAGGAGUGGAAGCGGAUCCACUACUUCAGUCAGAUGACCUUUUGAAGAAGGCUUACAACAGGCCGUCUCAGGAUGUCAAUGGCUCAACUCAAAAGUCCCCAAAGUGGUUGAUAUCGAAGAAUGCCGUUGUCUCUGGGCUUGGGCUCCUUGGCAUCAAACAAGGGAAUGUCGACUCUGUUGAAGGGGAAGCAAGGGCUCCUAAAGUGCGAAGAAAGAGGAUAGGCCGGAAGAAGGUGACCGCAUAAAUUUCUUGGGAGUUGAUCCUAGUCAAUAGCCCAAUUUUUUUGUCAAAACAUUGGUCCCGAUUCCAGCAAAACAGUAACUUCCAUUCAAAAGGGUUCAGCGUUGAGUGCAUGUAAUCUGCACAAGUUUGACAAAAAAUAACCGAAAAAAAAAAAAGAAACCCACGUCCAAAGAUGCCGUUGAAAAAAGUUAUUGGGUAUUCAUAAUAAAAUAAACAAAUAAAAAAAUGAAUAAAAAUUUAAAUACUUAAUUAAUUUUUAUCAAAUUCUUAUCAAAUAUUUAAAAAAGUAUAUAAAAUGAAUUAAUUGAUGGUAUUAUUAAUUUUCAUGAUGAUUUUUAAUAUUAUAUUAGUGAUUAGUAAGUUUAAUACAAUCAAUAAUGCAAGAAAUUAUUAAAUGGUUAAUUUUAUUGGCAAAUUUUAUCAAAUACGCAAGUAAUGAAAAAUUAAUCUCAAGAGUUAGUAGAAGUAAAGUUCUAAUUUAACCAGAUGAUAGAUAAUAAAUACAAAUAAAUUUUAAGUAAAUCAUAAAUUAAAAAUAAAUAAAUUAAUUAAUAUUAAGUAUAAAUAAAAAAUAAUGACAUAAAUUAAAGUCUCAUAAAUGGAUAACUUUUUUUCUUUAAUCUUAUCCUAAGUCCCAACUAAAGGAAUGUGUAAAUUAGGAUUAUUAAUCCCAUAAUUUUAGGAUUAAACUUAAAUUUAGUCCCUUAGUCCAAUUCAAUUAAGCUUACCAAAUAUGAUAUAAAUAUAUAAUCACAAAAUUAGUCCAAUUCCAUACUUAAUCCUAGUAUUCGAACAUGGCCGGAUAAAAUAGUUUAGAUAAUAUACUUCUAUGGCUCACAAUUUAAAUAAAUUUGAGAAUUUAAAUAAGGGAUGGAAAAUUCACAAUAAUCAUACCAUGUACUGUCUUUUCUUCCUUUUCUUAAUUAAAUAAAAGAAAAAAAAUUAAUGACAGAACCACUGCUGUGUGAUAUCGAUGAAGUCGCAUUCGCCUACCUAAUAUUGCGCAAUCAGAUAGAAAAAAGGGUCGGCUGCAUGAUUUUUCCAACUUUUGUCUUAUUUUUCUCUUUUCCACUACAAAUUAAUUUGAGAAUGUUAUAUUUUCCAAUUCUCUUUUUGUCGUGACAUAAUAGACUAAAGCGGAAUCACAUACUUUUUCAAAUGACCAAAUGGCUUUGGCCUACCUGAUAAUAAAAGGAAUGGAUCCAUACGUUAAAGCUAAAUUGAAAAAUAUAAUAAAUAAAUUGUCAGGAGAUGAUUUUAUCAAAAAUUUCACUCGCACGGUCCCGACCAAAUACAAAUUUGUGAUGAUAUUCAUAAUGAAUUUAUACCAUUAGGCGAAAUUACUCUAUAUAGUUUCAUCGAUAUAUAUUAUACCAUUACAAAUAUACUAAUAUUUAUAAUAAAAAAAAUUUAUGACUAUUUUAAAUCGACUGUAUUAUAUGUGAAUUCACAAGAUUCAUAGAUAGAUUGCACUGAGCUUUUUGUUGCAGUUUACAAAUAUUUUGUUACUAAUUAUCUUAAGAGCAGCAAGUAACUAAAUACAAAUGUAAGAAAUUUCACAAGUGCUGAUGCUGUGUACUCUGCAGAAUUAAUAAUGGAUUAUUAUGAAUCAGAGAAACAGGGCAGACGCUGUACAAUUAUUGACGUGGUGGAGCAGAAAGCUAGCCCCACAUGGUGACUCCUUUAAUUUGCAGCACAAAAGAACGUUCACAUUGACAUUGACUCGAGGGUAAAAAGAAUGCAAACAUGCUUGAAUGAACAUUCUCACAGAAUACAUAAAAGCAAGAAAAGCAAUUGCAGCAUUUUCCAUUUGAUCUAAUAUCAGAAUGGCUCUUGCGAUCGUUUGCGCUCUCUUGGACCAGCUGAAUUCCAUUGCUCAAGAAAAGUGGAGGCUUUUGACGGGUGUCGAACAAGAAGUGGGAAAGCUUACUACCAAUCUUCAAGCCAUUCAAGCUGUGCUGGAAGAUGCAGAGCAGAGGCAAAUGAAGCAGGACAGAGCUGUUACUCUUUGGCUGGAUCAGCUCAGAGACGCAUCCUACGACAUGGAAGAUGUGUUGGAUAAGUGGAUCACUGAAACACGGAAAUCGCAGCUUGAUGAGGGCGGCGAUGAUGAAGAUGAUGAUAACGACAAUGCUUUUGUUACUCUUUUGACGAAGGUAUGUUCCUUCUUUCCUGCUGCCUCAAACUGCUUUGGUUGUUUCAAACAACUCAGUCUUCGUCAUCAUAUUACUGUCAAGAUUAGAGAAAUCAGUAAAAGGCUAGAUGAUAUUGCCAGACAAAAAGAUAGUUUCAAAUUUGUUGAGAAUGUGAGUAACAAUGUUAAGAAACCAGAGCGAGUGCGAACCACCUCCUUGAUUGAUAAGGGAGAGGUUUUUGGUAGAGUUGAUGAGAAAAAUGAGCUCUUAAGCAAGUUGUUGUGUGACAGUAGUGAACAACACCCUCAUAUCAUCUCAUUGGUUGGGUUCGGGGGUAUAGGCAAAACCACUCUUGCACAACUAGCCUAUAAUGAUGAUGAGGUGAAAAUAAAUUUUGAAAAAGUUAUAUGGGCGUGUGUAUCAGACACUUUUGAGGAGAUUAGGGUCGCCAAAGCAAUCAUUGAAGGUCUAGGCGAGUCAAAAAAAGCUUCUGGUUUAAGCGAAUUCCAAUCUCUUAUGAGCCAUAUCCAUAGAUCAAUUGGGGGAAAAAAAUUUUUUCUUGUCUUAGAUGAUGUAUGGGAUGGGGAUUCCAAUAAAUGGGAUCCAUUCUUCUUUUGUCUAAAGAAUGGUCUCCACGGAAGUAAAAUUUUGGUUACCACACGUAAUGAGUCAAUUGCACGUAUGAUGGGAACAACAGAGUCAGAUACUAUCUCCAUUGAACAACUGGCUGAAGAGGAAUGCUGGUUGUUUUCCAAGCAGUUAGCAUUUUUCGGUCGCUGUUUCGAGGAUUGUGAAAGAUUAGAACCAAUCGGGCGAAAAAUUGCACGCAAGUGCAAAGGCCUGCCUCUUGCUGCAAAGGUAAUAGGGAAUCUCUUGCGCUCUAAAAUUACAGUAAAAGAGUGGCAAAGAAUGUUAGAUAGUGAAAUGUGGAAAUUAGAAGAGAUUGGGCAAGGUCUUUUGGCUCCUUUGUUGUUGAGUUAUAACGAUUUGCCCUCCAAUUCGAUGGUAAAACGGUGUUUCUCAUAUUGUGUUGUCUUUCCAAAUGACUACAGUAUGAAUAAAGAAGAAUUGAUUAGUCUGUGGAUGGCUCAAGGCUACUUUAACGCAGAAGAAGACGAAGAAAUGGAGAUGAUUGGAGAAGAGUAUUUCAACAUAUUAGCAGCACGCUCUUUCUUUCAAGAGUUUAAAAAAGAUUAUUUCAAUGGUGAUUUUAUGUGGUGUAAGAUGCAUGACAUAGUACAUGAUUUUGCCCAAUUUAUAAGUAGAAAAGUAUGUCUGUGGCUAGAAAUUGAUGGUACCAAAGAAUCAGUCAUAAACUCUUUUGGUGACAAAGUCCGUCACUUAGGGUUAAAUUUUCAAGGAGGAGCUUCAUUUCCUAUGUCCAUUCAUGGACUUAAUAGAUUGCGUACCCUCUUAAUUUAUGAUAGAAGUCAUUUCAUUCCAUCUCUUAGUAGUAGCAUCCUUUCGGAGUUAUUUAAUAAAUUGGUGUGUUUAAGGGCAUUAGUUAUAAGGCAAUUUAACCUUUAAGUUUGCAUCCUGUGCCAGAUAGGAUUAGAGAAAUUCCAGAAAAUGUUGGAAAAUUGAUACAUUUAAAAUAUCUUAAUUUGAAUGGACUAUGUAUAAAGAGACUACCUGAGACUUUGUGUGAAUUAUAUAAUUUACAAAAGCUAGAUAUUAGGUGGUGCCGAAAUCUUAGAGAAUUGCCUGCGGGGAUUGGGAAGUUAAUGAACAUGAGGAGUUUACUGAAUUACGACACUCGUUCGUUGAAAUACAUGCCAAUAGGGAUUUCCAGAUUGACCAGCCUUCGAACAUUAGAAAAGUUUGUUGUGGGUGGAGGUGUUGAUGGCGGCAGCACGUGUAGGCUUGAAUCUUUGAAAAAUCUUCAACUCCUUCGUGAAUGUCGAGUAGAAGGGCUGAGUAAUGUAUCGCAUGUAGAUGAGGCUGAGAGGUUACAACUUUACAAUAAGAAAAACCUCCUUCGUUUGAAUCUCAAGUUUGGUAUAGCCGUAGAUGGGGAAGGCGAAGAAGGGAGGAGGAAGAAUGAGAAAGAUAAACAACUUCUUGAAGCCUUACAACCGCCUUUGAAUGUAGAGGAAUUACGGAUUUUGUCCUACGGAGGCAACAUGUUUCCCAAAUGGUUGACUUUGCUAACCAAUCGAAGGGAACUAAGGAUUGAUUUUUGUGAAAAUUUGCAAGAACUGCCAAUUCUAGAAGAUUGCAGGACAACAGACAUACCGCAUCUUUCUUUCUUGAUUAUUCAGAAUUGCCCCAAAUUAAAGGUGCUGCCGGAUUACCUUCUUCGGACGACGACGCUGCAGAAAUUGACAAUUUGGCGAUGUCCCCUUUUGGAAAACCGUUAUAGAGAGGGGAAAGGAGUAGACUGGCAUAAGAUAUCUCACAUUCCCCACAUCAAGUUGUCGCUGUGGAUGCCGUAAGAUAUCACUGGACGGUAAUUUCUCCUCCUCUGAUAUACUUCGUUGUUGCUUGCAAUGAAAUUAAUAAAAAUAAUUAUAUUUUGAAUUAAAAUUCUAUAUAGAAUCAAUCUUGGUAUAAAUAUGUAAAACUUCCUAGUUAUCAAAUCUGUUAGACUUGUUUUCUAUAUUUAUUUACUUUAAAAAAAUAUGUGCUCUUUUGUAAAAUUUGAUACAACAUCAUAGAAAAUCCCAAUGUAAUUUAUUUUUUAAUGUACGAAAAUUUGUUAUGUGUGACGUCCUGAGUGACAAAAUCUCCUUGAUACAUUUGCAGUAAUGUCGAAAACUAAAUUAUCAAUUUUAUCUUGUAUAAUGAUAAUCUUAUUUUUUUAUAUAUAAUUUACGUGACAUUAAUUCUUUAAAGUAAUUGUGUAAUUGUUUUUACUACAUUAGCCCACUUUGUUUUUUUUCAUACUUGUUUAAUUAUGUUCACCAGGGAUUCGAGGAAAUGUCAGAACUACACUAGCAAUUCACAGGUCCAAGCUAAUUUGGUUUUAAUGAUGCAGGCAGGAGAGCAAGACUAUGAAAAUGAAAAGUUUAGCCAAAGGAUUGCUAAAAUGUUCUGCUGGUAAUUCCCUUGCUUUAUUUUAUAGAAUUUCAUUUCUAUCUUCUUCUAUUGAUAUCUUGUUGUGAAUAAACAAGAACAGAGAGUAAAUGAUUGAACCACAGAGAAGUAAAGUAAUAUCAAAAUUCGCUAUUAUGAUGAUUUUAAAGCAAGCUCAAGCUCAAGCUUGCAUUUUUAUUUUAUUUUAUUUAUAGAACUUCCAUUUCCACCUGCAUUUCAUUUUUAUUAGACUCUAUGGAGCACAUUGGGGUAACCAAGGAUUAUCACUGUCGUUAUUGUGCAACGUUGGGUUGCUGGACUUUGAAGAAGGAAGCGAUGGCCGGGUCUGCUCUGUUUCAAUUGAGGAUGGAUAGCUGCCUGAAAGACAUGAUGAUUAUUAUUGCAUGAUGUUAAGGUGCUGAGAUCAUCAUUUCUAUCUUGUUUCAUUCUUGGAAUCGUUUAUCAUAUGCGUCAAUGGAGGCAGGUAUUUGGUGUUGACACUAUUAUGCAGGUAACCACACUUGAUAAUUUGCACAAAUUUGCGUUGUCAGAAUACCCUUUAAUAUUCAUUGUGUUUCUUUGUGUUAUCAGGUUAUCAUCUCCAAGGGUUUGAAAGAGCCUUUGCAGUUGUCAGAAUACCCUUUAAUAUUCAAUUAGGUACGUUUUGGUGCGGUCUCCCAAUGCUAAUAUCAUAUUUUGUAUAGCAAUUAAAAUUUAGCUAUACAAUUUUAAUAUGCAAUAAAUCAUUGUAUACAAAGUUUUUUAUUAAUUAUAUGGUGACUGAAAUUUUAAUUAUCAUAUCAAUUUAAAUUUUUUUGUAACUCUCUUUUACUUUGCUUGUACAGAGUACCUGUUUUGGCUGAUAUGUCUAAUUCGUAGAAAUUUAUUUCCAUCGGUUUCCAUUGGCUUUAGCACAAACAGAAACAGAGCUCUGGGGAAAAGUUUGACUUCUUGUGGUAUUAUGCCUUUGUUUCUUCAUUCAUCAUAUUUUUCGAAUUCAUGCUCUCAUUCAGAGGGUAAAGCCUUUUCAUGGCUGCUUUGUAGCCAAACUUUGACGCCAUUGAUGCAUGACUGUCAUUUAGAUUUUCCAAUAACGGUUAGAUUGGAGAAGAAUAAGAAGAUAUUGUUAAAAGGGUAUUUAAUUAGCGCCGUCUGAAUUUAGUUGCCAAUAAUGCAUUGAAAUAGUUGGGGAAAGUUAUUGUCUUAAUUAAAUUACAGGUGAUAAGAUGCUGCCUCAAUUUUGUAAGCAUCUCGUAUUGAGAAGAUUAAUUGUUGACAAGCCAAAUUUUAGGCAAAUUUUACCGUGAUUCUUGACAUCAUGGUAACACAGGUCAAAUUUUAGUAUCAAGACAUAUCUUCUUCUUUACUGUUCUGCCUCUAAAUAUUAAACUUUAGGCAAGUUGUUUUUGUUUGUGUAAGUUAUCAGGUUAAGGAUACCAAGCAGCUUAAUUGUUCACCACACCUGGUAGGAAUGAUCGCCAGGAAGAUUAAUUGUUGACAAGCCAAUUUUAUCAGUGUUAGAUUUUUUGCCUCCCUUUGAGAGAUAUCAUCAUCAAAUUUGUGUAGAGAAUCUUUGAAGAGAAUUUUGUUGUGAGAGUUUCACUGUAGUGAAUUUUGGGAGCUUGAACUCACUUGAGUGAGAUAAUAGAGUGUAUUGGGGAUUUGGGUUAUGAGUAAUCGUUAUCCUUCCAAUAUUUGCAAGCUCUUACUUGUUAGUAAAAUCAUCUUCGUAUAUUGACUCUGUUUCUUUGUUCCUUAUUUAAUUAGUUUCGAUUAUCAUAAUUAGUCACUCAUUCUGAAUUUUUCUAAUUUUAAAGUUCCUUAGGUCCGCCACCAGUUUUUCAAGUCUGCAUAUGGCUGCAAAAGAUCGAUGGUCAUAAAAUUAUCUUGAGCCUUGAGGCAUUGCGUUCGAGCUCACACUGUAACAGAGAUAAAGAUAAAGAAGACAGUAGAAGAUGCUCUAAACAUAACAAAAGUAUAUUUCUACGUCUUGUGGUUGCUUUAAUUUACUUUUGUUUCUUCUGUCAUCAUAUUUGAUUAAUUCGUUCGAAUUCACACUCUCACAUUAUUUAAAACUAUUUGUAGGUGGCUUGCAAGCUAGUUACGUUAAUGCAAAAACAAUACUCUAGACAAAGAUGAGCAAAUUAAAGGUGAUAAAUGCAAAUUGAAUGUCCAUGAAUAAUUGUUAGGCCGGUGCUGAUAAAUUGCUUCAAAGCAAGCAGCAUCUUCUGCUGCGAAGGCUUUCCCCACAUGAUAUGUUGUGAUUGUUACCGGCCCCGUAUUUAUUAACUCAGGUCAGUAUUAUCUUCUUCAUCAUUUUGGCUAUAUAUAAAGAUUAAAAUUUUGAACACUUGUCUCGGUUUCUUGUGUAAUCAGGCUAAUAGAGCAAAUGUUUACUGUCUAAGCACUAAUGCGACAAUCCCAUCUGUAAAUUUGGGCCAUCUUUGAUGUCUGACAGGUAAGCUGUGACAAUCCCAUCUGUAAGUACUAAUGCGCUUGGUUAUAGUGCUUUCAUUGGACUAUAUGCAAACAUGAGAUAUCAACUAUUGUGUGGAUUUGAUAGAGCGGUCACCAACCAUUUUGAUGUUAUUGGAGUAGCACUGUUCUUAAGCACGGCUUUGAGGUCUCUCCGUCUCUCUUUUACGUAUUUGUCUAUUGAUCGACAUCUCUAUAUAUACAUUGAUAGACCAAAUUACUCUUGCUUUAAUGUUAAUGUGGUUCCUAUAAAAGUGUAUAUAAAUCUAUCACCUCAAAGUCUGAUUUCAAUUUUCCUUUACUUAAUCAACUAGCAUCCUUUCCAAGUCCAGAUACUUACCAAUAGUGAGACUUUGCUACGGAAGUACAAUUUCUCUUGUUUUAUAGUUAAGUAUGUAAGAAUAGUUUCAAAUUUACAAAUUUCUGAUAUAGUUCUCUACGGAAAUGCGAGUGGUGAAUAUGGUUCCAACUUUUAAUAGGCUUAAUUGGCCCAUUUGUUCAGCCACAGUGAUUGCGGUCUGAAUUCUUCUUUACUGUCUCUAUGUGUUGGAGUUUGUCUAUUGUCCAACUUCUCCAAUGGAUUCCAUGCAGGGUUUUGAAUGUCUAAUUAGGAGAAAUCAACGGAUGACCUUUUGAAGAAGGCUUACACAACAGGCCAUCUCAGGAUGUCAUGGCUCAGCUCAAAAGUCCCCAGGUGGUUGAUACCAAAGAGUGCCAUUGUUUCUGGGCUUGGGCUCCUUGGCGUCAAACAAGAUAAUGGGAAAUAGGGGCAACUAAAGCGCGAAGAAAGAGGAUGGUCUGGAGGAAGGUGUCUGCAUAAAUUUGUUGGAGUUGAUGUAGUCAAUUGCCCAAUUUUGCUGCCUGUCGAAGAGACACAGCAUGGAAGUCCUCAUCAAACUCUGAGACACCUAAGAAAUAGUAUGAGGUGGUGGUAUUCCCCUGGUGUUAAUUUCCUGGCAAGUGUGGUUCACAGAUAGAGGGAUUCUUUUCUUGAUGUCUAAAUACCAAAUGUGAUGCAACGUCGUAUAUUCUAAGAUAUUAAAUUCUAUUUCAGAUUUCUCAUAUAGUGUCGUUGUCACUUCUGUGGUACACUUUUGAUCGCAAAUUUCCAUUUGAAGUAGCCGAUAUUCUUUACAGACUAAUUAUCUAAUGAUUAUUUUGUACAAAAAAAAUCAAAACUUUAAUUAUUUGAUCAUACUCAACUUAGGUCUUAUUCGAUAUUACUAGUUGUUAAUGUGUAAUAAAUGUAUGACUUUUAAAUAAUAAUUUUAAUAAAAAUAAUAAAGAUAUUAUAAGUUUUUUUUUAUAAUAAAGUAUGAGAUCAAAUCAAAUUAAUUUUGAAGUCACAAUAGCAAAUGUUUACCAAAACUAUUUAAUUAUAUGACUUAAAAGAUAUAGUUGUCCAAUCCCAACAAUAUAUAUAAAGAUUUACCAAACUUUACCCGACUUUAGUUGUACCCACUUGAUUAUGUAAGUCCAUUCUCCACGCGCUUGACCAUAUGAGAUGUUACUCAACUUUAACAAAUCUUACUUAAACUUUGCACGUUUGACAUGUUGGAUGAAAUAUAGCAUAUGAUGUGAUAGAAUACAAUAGGAAUGGUUGUAACAAGAUUAUAAUUAGUACUAGUUUGUAUUUUAUGUGAUGUAGAACGCAUUAUAUUACAACUUUUAGUGUUAUACUAAUUAAAAAUUUGAAUUAUUUUAUUAUUGUAAAAAUUUAAUAUCUUAAAUAACAGUUAUUUUAAUUAAGUAUUUUUGUUGCAAUGAAUUAUACUUUUUUAAAUAUAAUUGAAAAUUCUUAUUACUAAACUAAUAAAAAAUUAAUUAUUUGAGUUAUCUCCUAAACUACUUAGCUUACGAGAUAAAUUCACUUUGUUUAGAAUGAAACGGAUUACAUUUAGUACUAUUUUGUAUUUUAUGUGACGUAGUGUAUGAUUCAAUUAUAUUACAAAUUUUAUUGUAAUAAAAAAAUUUUGAAUUAUUUUAUUAUUGUAAAAAUACAAUAUCUUAAAUAACAAUUAUUUUUAUUAAGUAUUUUUUAAUGAUUUAAAAUAUAAUUGUAAAUUCUUAUUAUUAAACUAAUAAAAAAUUAAUUAUUUGAGUCAUCUCCUAAACUACUUAUUUCACGAGAUAAUUUCACUUAGUUUAGGAUGAAACGGUGGGUUAUUUUUAUGUGGGAGCCACAUCCUUUCCAUAUGAGAUGUUACUCAACUUUAACAAAACUUACUCAAACUUUGCACGUUUGGCAUGCCGGAUGGAAUAUGAUAGUAUAUGAUGUGAUAGAAUAUUAUAUGAUUAGAUGUAAUAGGAUUAUAUUUGGUCUUGUUUUAUAUUUUAUGUGAUCUAGUAUAUGAAUGGAUUAUAUUACAAAUUUUAUUGUUAUAAUAAUUAAAAUUUUGAAUUAUUUUAUUAUUGAAAAAAUAAAUAACAGUUAUUUUGAUUAAGUUUUUUUUUUCUGUUGAAUUAUAGUUUUAAAAUAUAAUCCAAAAUUUUUAUUACUAAACUAAUAAAAAAUUAAUUAUUUGAGUUAUGUCCUAAACCAACUUAGCUCACGAGAUAAAUUCACUUAUUUUAGAACGAAACGGCGGGUUUUAUGUGGGAAGCCACAUCCUUUCCAUAUCAACCUCAACAUCCAAACAUGAAAUUGGACUAAGAAUAGUUCUUUCCCAUGUAUUUACGUACCCUCCUGCCACUAAACGUAAUUGUAUAUUUUGGACCUUAUUUGACUUGAUUUUAUUAACUUAAUUUUCUCCAAUUUCCAUUGUCGACGUUGAGUGCAUGUAAUUAAUCCACAAGUUUUGAUUGAGCAGAAAUAGCCAAAAAAAACUGAUGAUAUGAUAAUAGCAAAAAAUCUAAUGACACCCACGUCCAAAGAUGCCGUUGUCACAAAGGCCUGGACGCCAUACCUCGAACCCAUCCCCUUUUACCAUGAGUGAUGAUACAGCCACAAACUCUUAUACAAACUUAUUUUAUACAAACUAAUGUGACAUCAAUUCAAUGGUUGAAUGAAAAUAUAAAAUAAUGAAAGUAAAUCAUGUGGGCCAAGAGAUAUUUAAUUUAACCAAUAAAUUGACGCCACAUAAGUUUGUACAAAAUAAAUUUGUAUAAGAGUUUGUGGCUGUAUUACUGUAUUAUUACUCUUUUACCAUAUUUUAUAAUUAAAGAGGUCAUUGUUUGAAAGAAAAGAAUGACAUGUUGGUAUGAAAUUACGUUAAAAUGAAUAUAUCACUUUUUUUUUUGUGUGAGUGAUGGCUUCGUUUAAUGACAAUUGGCAGACAAUGAAUCAUCUUUUAAUUUUAGUUUUGAUUUAAUAAAAAAUAUUAAUUUUUGUAGUUUCGGUAGAUGAAAUUUCGAAUCAAAUAUUAAUAUCGUUAAAGUACGCAACUCAAUAUUUACUUAAAUCAGAAAAAAGAUUAAUUGCUUUACAUGAAAAAGAAAAGAAAAGAAAAGAGUGAUCACUUGAUUUAACUUCCUUUACUAAAUUUACGAUUUAAAAUCUAAAAUGGAAAAAGGAAAACAAGUUUUGGAAACACACUCGGAGUUUUAAAUUGAUAUGAAAAAAGAGUUUAUUAUUGACAAUCUUUUUCCCAAAAUUUAAGCUAAGACAACAAUAUGUCCAAAAUACCCUCCACAUUAUCCCAAAACUUUAUAAACUCCCCCGUUCCUCUCAACAUCAUCUCUUCCAAAUCUUUCUUCCCCCCAAAAACCAGCCAUGGCUUCAUAUUCAAUUACCUCAACACUCCAAUAUUGGCUUGUAAACCACCCCCAAAUCCUCAACUUCACAUGGACUCCGAACCAAACACUAGCUUCCUCCCCACACUUCCUCAUUCUCUCCAUCCUCACUUACCUCUCCCUCACAUUCAUCCUCUACCACGCAUCAACAUCAACAUCACCACCUCUCAUUGGACCCCACAUCCUCAAGCCCAUCACAGCCGUCCAUAACCUCACCCUCUUCGUCCUCUCCCUCAUCAUGGCCGUUGGUUGCACUCUCUCCAUCAUCCUCCAUUUACCCUACCUCCGUUACACCCUUUGUUUCCCCACUACCAUUUCUCCGUCUGGCCCUCUCUUCUUCUACGCUUACAUCUUCUACCUCUCCAAAAUACUCGAAUUCUUUGACACCCUUUUGAUCAUUUUAUCAAACUCCAUCCAACGGCUCACGUUCCUCCACGUCUACCACCAUCAACCGUCGUUGUAAUGUGCUUCCUUUGGUUACAGACGAAGCAGUCUUUGUUUCCUAUUGCAAUUGUCACCAAUGCAAGUGUGCAUGUGAUCAUGUACGGGUACUAUCUAUUGUGUGUGAUGGGGUUGCGGCCAAAGUGGAAGAGAUUGGUCACUGAUUGUCAGAUUCUUCAGUUUGUGUUUGGUUUUGCUGUUUCGGUUUUGAUGCUGUAUUAUCAUUUCACGGGUUUUGGUUGCUCUGGGAUUUGGGGAUGGUGCUUCAACGUUGUGUUUAAUGCGUCCCUUUUGGCACUUUUUGUUAAUUUUUAUUCCAAGAGCUAUGCUAAGAAAAAGAAGCAGGGAUGAUCAAAGUGCUAUGAUUGUUUUGUGUUUUCUUUUUUAAUUUAUUUGAUUUUGGUUAAUUAUGAAUGGUGGUAAUUGGUUGAAUGCAAUUGAAGAGAUGCUUUCAGUUGCCUAAACUUUGUUUUUUCAAUUUUUGUUAUAGAUGUCAUAUGUCACCACAUUUUUUUAGUCUCUCCCUUUAAAAUUCCCUCACACAAACUUCGGAUUUGUAUUUUGUAAACUAGAAUUUUUCAUUUUCGUUAAUGUGUUAGCUGUUAUUAUCUACAAUUAUGUCAUACGACACACAUGUCACAUCAACUAAAAUUAGAUUAUGAAUUUUGGGCACAGGGCCAAGUCCCACCGUUUGGUAGGAAAUAAGUGUUGGAUCAUAAACUUGAUCCAAGAUAAAUAAAUUCAACCUUAACUCAUGGAAGGUUCCAUGAGUAGGUAUGGUUAGUGAGGUUUGAAUUAUUUGUGUUAGGUGUGGUAGGUGUGGUUGGUGAAGUAGGUGAGUGGUAGGUUUUAAUGGAUGGUGAGUAUUUGUGUAUUAGUUGAAUAAAUGAAUGGUUGUGAUUAGUUUGUUUCAUGGAUAAAUACCCCCUCUCCCCUUUGGUUUAAAUAUCAAGUGAAAUAACAAAAUCUCUAAGGUGUAGAGAGUGAAAAAUAAGAGUUGUAAUUAGUGAGGAGUGUUGUUGAAGAAAUAAAAUAGUGUGUUUUAUUUGUUAACUCUCCAACAAAGUGGUAUCAAAGCUAGUGCUUGAUGCUAUAUAUUGUCAUAUAGCAUAUCAAAUCGAAGAUCUCGAUGAGAGGAACGUGACGCCGCAAAAAUCAUCCUGACCAAAGACCAGACGCGCCCAAGCUCGCCGUCAGAAUUUUUCUGUCCUGAAGCUGAGUCGACUCACCGAGUUGAACCAACCUGAGUCGAGCCGAACUGAACCGAAUCAAGUCGAACCAAGCCAACUGGAGUUGAACCAAUCCGGACCGAACCAAGACUACUAAGCCAACGCUGACCGUUGACUGAAAGUUGACUCAAGUUCUUCCCAAGGCUUUUCGACGUGCCGGAUCCAUCUGUGCUUUCAGAAUCUCCAAAUUCUCACUCAAUUUGUGAGUUAUGGAAAACGGUGGUCUGAUGUCAUUUCAAGUUCCACAAUUAAAGAGAAGUAAGUUUGACAAUUGGAGUAUUAAAAUGAAGGCUCUAUUGGGUGCACAUGACGUAUGAGAUAUCAUGGAAAAAAAGCUUUAUUGAGCCAGAAAAUGAAGCCACUUUAACUGCGGCAUAGAAUGAGAAUUUAAAAGACUUGAAGAAGAAAGAGAAUAAAGCAAAGUAUCUCAUCUUUCAAUCAUUAGAUGAAGAUGCCUUUGAAAAGAUUGCUGGUAAAACGUGAGAAACUAGAGACCUCUUACAAAGGAGCGAAGAAAGUUAAGAAGGUUCAUCUCCAAAUAUUCCGAGGAGAAUUUGAGUCCUUACACAUGAAGGCGUCGGAGUCAAUUUCUGAAUACUUUACUUGGGUUGUGACCAUUUCUAAUGAAUUAAAAAGAAAUGGCGAGGAGUUAAAAGAGGUAAGGAUCAUUGAAAAAAUACUUCGAUUAGUAUACUCGAAGUUUGACCAUAUUAUUGUGACAAUUGAGGAAACAAGAGAUCUAGAGGAUAUGACGAUCGAGCAACUUUAAGAAAGGUUGCAAGUCUAUGAAGAAAAACAAAAAAAGAAGCAAGGAAUCGAAGAACAACUUCUCAAGAUGGAGGUCAAUCCAAAGAAAAGAAAAGAAAGCUCCGACAACGGAAGAAGGCAUAUUUAUCUCCCAAGAAAGCUAUACAAAGGAGAUUCUAAAAAAGUUCAAGAUGAAUGAUUGCAAGCCUAUAAGCACGCCAGUGGAAUGUAGAGUCAAGUUAUCUAAACAUGAUGAAGGGGAAGAUAUAGAUCCAACAUUCUUUAAAAGUUUAGUCGGAAGCCUACGUUAUUUGACAUGCACCAGACCAGAUAUCCUUUAUGUUGUUGGACUUGUGAGCCGAUACAUGAAGAAUCCAAAGACCACCCAUUUUAAAGCUGCAAAAAGAAUCCUUUGCUACAUCAAAGGUACAACUAAUUUUAGCUUGUUAUACUCAUUUUCUAAUGACUCCAAGCUUGUUGGAUAUAGCGAUAGCGAUUGGGGUGGAGAUGUAGAUGAUCGAAAGAGCACCACAGGAUUUGUGUUCUUCAUGGGAGAUACUGCUUUCACAUGGAUGUCAAAGAAGAAAACAAUUGUCCUGCUAUGCACCUAUGAAGCUGAAUAUGUAGCUGCCACAUCAAGUGUUGAUAAUAAUUUGGCUCAGAAAUUUGUUGAAGGAAUUAGGUUUGCCACAAAAAGAGCCAACCGAGAUUUGUGUUGAUAACAAAUCAGCAAUUGCCCUAUCCAAGAAUCCAAUCUUUCAUGAUUGAAGCAAACACAUAGACACUUGCUAUCAUUUCAUAAGAGAAUUUAUUACAAGAAAAGAAGUGCAAGUCAAGUAUGUAAAAUCACAAGAUCAAGCAGCUGAUAUCUUCACUAAGCCACUCAAGCAAGAAGACUUCGUAAAAUUCAGAAGUUUGCCUGGUGUCACAGGAUCAAGUUUAAGGGGGGGUGUUGGAUCAUAAACUUGAUCCAAGAUGAAUAAAUUCAAGCCCAACUCAUGGAAGGUUCUAUGAAUAUGUAUGGUUGGUGAGGUUUGAAUUAUUUGUGUUAGGUGUAGUAGGUGUGGUUAGUGAAGUAGGUGAGUGGUAGGUUUUAAUAGAUGGUGAGUAUUUGUGUAUUAGUUGAAUAAAUGAAUGGUUGUGAUUAUUUUUGUUUCAUGUAUAAAUCUCUAAGCUGUAGAGAGUGAAAAAUAAGAGUUGUAAUUAGUGAGGAGUAUUGUUGAAGAAAUAAAAUAAUGUGAUUUUUGUGUGUUUUAUUUGUUAAUUCUCCAACAAUAAGGAGCAUUAAUGAAAUAUGUUUAAUUAAGUAAUAAUUUGUUAUUUUAGAGUGAAAAAUAAGGGUAAAUUGUAUUCUACCCCAUAUUAGAUUGACAAACUUCAAUUUACCCCUUAAAAGUACAAAAACUUCAACUUAUCUCCAAAUACCAUUUUCUUCCCGUUAAAUUUAACUAUCGAAAGUAUAAAAUUAUAGUCUUACAUUCUCUCAACAGUCAACUCAUGGAUAAGAAGUCAAAACAUAUAUAUAAGGUAAUUUCCAUAAAACCCAAUGUAGGGGCGGGCAAUUGUUUGGUUUAGAAGUUAGGAACCGAAUGGUUUGAAAACAAAUGAACUGAUUGGUUUAUAUUUGGUUUACUUUGAACUGACAAACCGAUUGGUUCGCUUAAACUUAAUUAAAAAUACAUUUAUUUUAAAAUAUAAAUGCUUAAAAUAAUUUUUUUUUUCAUUUUUCAGUUUCCUAAUCUAAAAAUGUUUCAUAACCCUAAAUCAGCCGCCAUCUCUCUCAAGGUCGACGGCGGCACAACAAGCUCUCUCGGUCUCUCCCUCGCAAUCUCAUGGUGAUUGAUUUCUCGUGAUGUCUCCACUUUUGUUUCUUGUUCUUGUGUGAUCGAAUUCUCUCUAUACACACAUAGCCUAGCCUCUUGUUUUUUGGCUCAAUGGAGUUUCGUUUCUUUUCUCUCAGUUUCUUUCCUGUUGAAUUCUCGUGAUGUUUCUAUUUUUUUCUUUUUUUUUAGACAUGUUUUCGAAAUUGGCAUAAUACGAACCAAACCUGAACUGAAUUUCAAAAUCAAAUCGAAUUGAACCAAACUGAAAUUUUUAUGUUCGGUUUGGUUCGAUUAAAAAAUUUGGUAUGCGUUCGGUUCUCUUUCUUACGAACCAUUGGGUUUUAGUUCGGUUCGGUUUUGGUCUAGAAAAGAACUAACUAGAACCGAACCAAACCAAACCAAACCAAACCAUUUACUGGCCACCUUGCUCAUAUGUUUCAACAAAUUUCAAUGCACACUUAAACAUUUCAAUAAAAUUCGCUUUGUACCCAAAUUGAUAAUUUUUACUUUUUAAUUAGUUAAUUGUUAACUGCAGAAGUAUAAAAAAUUAUUUCUUUUUAAAAUAAGAAAAAUAAUUUUUUUCUAACUUUUUUCCUUUUUUAUUUUCUAGUUAAUUUCUUUAUCUGGUUCGGUUCAUUUUUCCCUUUUUUAUUUCUUACUGUUUUCCGCAUGUUCUCCACGCUUGAACUUUGCCAAGCAUCAUAAGGCCACAGUAGCCAUGCCAGCAACUUGCAACUAGGGGUGGGCAAAAAAACCGUAGUCUUAAAAAAACCGAACCGAACCGACGGUUUUUUCUAAUUCGGUUCGGUUUUUAUUUUUUUAAAAAACCGAAUAUACCGUUUGUAAAAAAAACCGAAAUGUCGGUUCGGUAUUCGGUUCACUUAGCUGAACCGAAAAACCGAACCGAAAAACCGAAUUAUUUUUUGAUUUUAUUCAAAUCAAACAUGUGUUAAUAAUUUUAUUCAAAUCAAACAUGUGUUAUUUCUCUUUAUAACAUUAUGAUUAUGUUUAUAUAGAUGGAGUAUUGGAGUUUGGUUAUAUAUUUUGAAAUUUUAAUAUUUCAUAUAUUUGGGAGUAUCUUAUUAAUAGUUAGUAAGAUAUUAGUGAUAAAAUGUGUUUUGAAUACUUUGUAUUUAUUGUUAAUAUUUGUAAUAAAAUUAGGAUAAAUUAAUUGUUGAAAAAAAUUAUUACAUUUAUGAGGCCCAAUGGGCUAAAAAUUUUAAAAUUCAAAAUAGGCCUAAUAGGCCCAGAACCGAAAAAACCGAACCGAACCAAACCGAUCUGAAAAGAACCGUUUGAGUUCGGUUCUUAUUGAGUUUGGUUCUUAUUCGGUUCUUUUUAUAAAAUAACCGAUUUAAAUCGGUUCUACUUAAUUUCGAACCGAACCGAACCGAACCGAACCGAACCGUGCCCACCCCUACUUGCAACAAAGUUUAGAGCUGCGCGAUGGUUGCAGCAACGUUAACGCCGCUAUUCCAAGUCUUGGCCCAUCAUCUCCUUUUCAACAAAUCUUAGCUUCUUCCCAAAUUCAUCAAUGAACCCCAAAACCAGAAUAAUCAUUAAAAUUAUUAACAACCAUUUGCUUGGAUCAAUGUAUGCUUGGCAUGUCUAUGGGCUUACUUGGAAUGGUCGCUGAUGGCCAUGGGCUUGCUUGGAUUGGCCGCGCACAGCCAUGGGCUUGCUUGGAAUGCCGGUACCCGUUUGCCACGGUUUUGCUAGCGUAUCCAUGGGUUUUGUUGGACAUGGCAGUGCGAGGCCAUGGGUGUUGCCGGACAAUGGACAUGGGUUUUGCUGGGCUGAUUAGGAAUUAACAGAGGCUAUGGAGUUGUUCAGUGUGUGAAAGAGAAAAAAACAUGAACGAAGAAGAAUAUGAACAGGGAAUAGAACGAAGAAGAUGAAGAAAGUAGAAGAGAGGGAAAAAAUAUUUUGCUUUUUUAUAAAUUUUCGGAUUUUUAUUUCAAAAUUUAUAAUUUUUGUUUAAAUUUGAGAAUCUUAAGGGUAAGAUUUUCUUUGUAACUAUGUGUAGAAGGAGGUUUUCAGAUGGUUUUUGGUUGGGUUAACAUGAAAUAUGCUUGUUUUAUGAAAUAUUAUUAUUGAGGUUUUGUUUUAUUUUCUAAAAAAUAGAUUAGAGGAUGAUUUUCAUUAAUGACACCCAUAAAGUUUGAAUUAGUUAUAUUAUAGAAAUAGUAGGGAUUUAAAUGAUAUAUCUUUUCAACAUAAAUAUAUCAGUAACAUAAGUUAUUCUAUAAUUAACAGGGUAUUAUCGUAUUUUAGUGAGUCAUUAUUGGUUGAUAGUUAUAUUUAACAGAUUUUAGACAGUAAAUUGAAGUUUAUUUUUUUUAUUUUUGAGUAAAUUAAAAUAUGUCAAUCUCAUAAGGGGUUAAAAUAUAAUUUAUCCAAAAAUUAGUGUUAAAAUUUUAUAGAUGAGUGUAUAUUAAGAUGUUCAAAGUAUUAGAACAUAAAUAAUCUUAGUUUUAAUAAAAUUUUGCCACAUAGUGAAUAUUAUCCUCAACCUCAAGAGAAACAUAUCAAUAAAAUAUACAAAAAUAGAAUGCAUUAGUACAUGUCAAUAACAAGACCAAUUAGAUCAUGUCAUAUUUGUUAUGUAGUUAUUUAAGCUAAUAGAGUAAGAAGUCCCAAAUACAUGUACAUCAUAUCUUGGUGAAGAAAUCGGUUCUACCCGAAAUACUUCUUCGUAUUGAAAUCAAUGAUGAUUGCUUGUUUAAAUAAUGAAAGUUAAAAUAAUUUUGUAAAUAAUUUCAUUCUUUAAUUUACGGUAUACAAAUAAAUUCAAAAAAUGUUAAUUUCUCUCAUACUUUUAGGACCCAAAAAAUAACAAAAAGUCUUAACAUAUUUAAUGGUUAUAUAUAAAUCAUCCGUACGUAUUUUUCUUGAGAGAAGCUCAAUUCGAUAGACAAUGCUCCCCUUAAUUUUCUUUUCUAAUUAGAUAAAAGAACAAGAGAAAUUGAUUACAAGAAUAACAAACUUUAAUUUACUUCUUAAAGGGUAAAAACCUUAAUUUACUUCUUAAAGGGUAAAAACCUCAAUUUGUCCUUAUAUUUGUUCAAAAGAUACAUUUUGUCUUCUUAAUAUAAACAAGUUAAAUUGAUGUUUCACAUCUUUUAGAAAUAAAUUAAAGAUUGUUAUUUUAAGUAGGAGGUAAAUUUCAAAUAAAACAUGUGUUCAUAUGAUAGAUGUGCAUUUUACAAUAAUUAAUAAACAAAAGGGUAGUGAUAUUUUCAACCUGUAAUUUUUGUAAAUCCACCCCCACUCCCAAGAAAUAAUUACAAUAAAUUCACAUAACUUUUUUAAAACUCAAAUAAAGAAAAAUUUUGGAGAUUUAAACUAUUGUAUACAAGAGGAUAAGAGUAAAUAUUUUUCAUGCAGUAUAAAAAGAAUGCGACAGCUCCUUUUCUUUCGGUAUUUUCACAACAAAAGCACACUUAAUAACUCAUCAAAUUAUUUCUCCUUUUCUUUGAUCGCUUCCCCUCUCCUGGAGCUGCUGAACUCCUUUGUUGCUGAUGAAGGGAACAAGUGAGGCUUUUCAAAAGAGGGCAAAGAGAUGGUGAUUCGAUUUGAUUCGAUAAUAGUAGUUUAUUUUAAUUGUUAUUCAUUUGAUUUCAUAGAAGUAAUUUUUAUUUUCAUUUUUUUGUUGAAAAUUGGUAAAAACGAACUAAAAUGAGAUAAUUACAUUAAAACAAUCUUCAAUGACUAAAGUAAUUUGAAAAAAUAAAAAUAAAAAUAAACAAGCUCAAAAUUUACCCCUAAUCCGAACAUUAUCCGAAUUCAGCCUAAUUGACCCAAAUCUAAUUGUAAUCCAAACUUGACAUGACCCGCAUAUAAUUAUAACCCGAUCAGAUCCAAACUCGACCUGAAUUUUUAAUUCAAUACGAUCCAAUCCAAAUAUUCCAAUCCCAUCAAAAUGAAACUUGAUUGGGUUGAUCCGAACCCGAAUUUGCCACUUCCGGAGGAGACCAUGACCCUAAAGGCUUUGAAAUAAUCUUUGCGGUUUCUUAAUGAAAUAGUAAAAGUUAUGCGCAAAAAGACUGUUUUGACCCUAGAAUACAUGAUAUAUAAAUUUCAGACAUUAUAUUCUGUGAAAUAAAGUCAAAGUAAACUGGUUGUUUGAUUUUUUAUUAAUUAUUUUCCAUUAUGACAAAAUGACAAAUAGACUUUAUUAAAAGUUUAAUAAAGUUUGGGCCUAACUCCUUGAUUUUUAUUUUUUUUAAUUAUUUUUCAUUUUGUUUUUUACUUGCAACAUUAGCUUUAAUUAUCAAUAGUCUCCAAAUCAAAAUGACUGCAACCUGUAGCUACAAGCAAAAUUCUCAAAUUUUGAAAUUUCUAACGACUACAUAAGAGCUAUAAAUAGAAAAAUCAUCUAAAAUUAAUCCUCCUUCAGAGGCAGAUUAAAUUCUUAGUAAUUUCAUAUAAUUUCAUUUCAUCAGAACAAUUUUCCAAAAGCAAUUUUAUAAAUGGUUGUCGAAAGCUUUAUCCCUUAAUUAUAUGUCACGUAUUUUCUUUGUGAUAUGAGGCGUGUCCAUAGACCAUAGUAUGAUAUUUAUUGUAAUUAAAAUCAUUAUGGAACUGAUUUUAUUCUUGUUUCUCAAACAAAAUAUCUAACUGCAGAUGUAAUAAAUUACUAAUUACCAUUAUUUGAGUCGCACUCUUUGAAUUGGAUCUUGGAGUUUCGAAUGACCAAAUGAAUUAGUGAGAUAAUGGCUUUUGCUUUUGUCUACCUGAUAAUAAAAUUUGUCCACCAUAUAGACAAGAAAUGGAUCGGAUCCAUAUGCUAUAGCUAAAUUGAAAAAUUUAUGUGGAGUUUUAUUGUAAGACAUUUUUAUCUGAAUAGAAAAAAUAAAUUUUUUUUAUUUUUAUCUAAAUGAUAAAAUAUCUGAAUAAAAAAUCAGUUUUCUUCUCACAAAUACCCUCAUUAAAUAUAUUUAUUUUCUACUUAGCUAUUAGAUGUCAUAUUAGAAUUUCCUUUGAUCUCAGAUUUUACUUGGUAUUAAAUACUUAAUCUGCGUUCGAUUCGAAUUUAGACAAAUUCUUUUGUCAUUAGAUAACAACGUUUUUACUGAAUUUGAUGUUCAUACAGAAACAGUCAAGUCCUUGUUGACUGAAAUUGGCAUUUCUCUUGUCUCUGCUCCUAUCAUUUGGUGUGAUAACCAAAGUGCAGCUGCCUUAGCAAGUAAUCCUAAAUUCCAAGAACUUAAAUUUAACUCUAAUAAAAGCUCAAAGUUAGUUAUGUUCCAAGUUCUCAUAAGUCAUAACUCAUCUGAUAUCCUUACUAAAGCUUUAGCUUAUCACCCUUUUCAUUAUCUGAGAGACAAGCUCACCCUGACUUCACUAGGCUGAGCUUGAGGGGAGAUGUUAAGAGUAUAAGCUGAAGCUGCUGAGCUGGCUGGUGACGUGCUGACGGUGUUGAGUUGACUAAUGUUUUGUAACUAAGUUGCUGAGCUGGAUUGGGUUGUUAUUUGCACUGAAUAAGUUGUAACGAAUUGUCCAGCUGGCUUGUUAUGAUUGGAAGGCUAAUUAGUUUGUUAAUAUUGCAGCUUUGAGCUCUGUUUCUGUAAUCAGUUUUGAGUGUAACUAUAAAUAUCACGCUCAUAAUGUAUGAUUUCAGCUUUAAUCAAUAAGAAUCUGUGAUUGUUCCAGAAACUUCAUAGUCAAAUUUUCUUUCUUAAUUUUCUUUCACUUUCUCUCGUGCCAAACACCUUAUUGAUUCAAAUAAAACUCCAUCCAAAGGCUCACGUUCCUCCACGUCUAUCACCAUGCAACCGUCGUCGUAAUGUGCUACCUUUGGUUACAUAGUAACCAUGUUAAAUUGGAUUUUCUAUAUGAUAUUAUCGUUAGCUUCAUUGUUUAAAUAUACCGUUAGUGAAAGAAUCGUUCGUGAUUAGGUACUUUACAACUACAACACGAUAAGCAAUCAAAGUUACAUGAAAGAAUCAGUAAUUAGUAGUUAGGUUAGAGGUGAAACGUGCAUGUUACAGGGAAGUAGAAAACAUGUCAAGUUGUUAUCAUAAAGUGAAUAUCCAAUUUAAGAAGAUAAUAACUGGAUUUUGAAUUCAAUUUCACUCUGUUUUAGUAGUAUGUAUUAUAUCUCACGAAUAUGAUAUCAGUGAAAAAUGUAUAAGUUAUGGGCUUUGAAUUUAUAUUAAUGCAUAUAUACUAGCUAUGAAAAUGACGAAUUCUAAACAGAUUUUGCUAUUUAACAAGUAAUUAAGAGGUCUAGCAAUCAAUUAAUAAAAAAGUAAUUCAAUAUAACAUUGCUACAAAGAAAUUAAACUAUAUAUAACAACUAUUUCAAUGAGACUAAUGAUAAUUAUAUCUAAGGUUUGAUCGAACAAACGGGCAAGAACAGCAAAAGCUAAUCUUAAUUUAGAAAUUUUUAUAAGGGGGGAGGAUUGUAAUAUACGCACUUGGACUUUCUUAAUAAAGUGCUGAUUUUUAUUUUCCUCUUCUCUAUUAAUUUUUAAUUUCGUCACUAUAGUUUAAUUGGGAUAAAUUGAGCUCGAUUAUACGCGCCGAUGGUCGGAUUUUAUUUUCGUAACGGGUCUGAAAUUCGCUUAAUUUGUAUUAAGCUUAAAAAAAAAAAAAAAAAAAAAAAAAAAAAGAGGGGCAGAAUUGUAUAACUGGAAAGAGGGAAACGGGUUUUCCAUUUUAGAGAGAAAGAACCCGAGAAGAGAGAGAAAGAUAGAGAGAGAAGUCAGACCCGUUGACCCGAGAACCCGACCCAGUAACCCGCGGAUUGACCCGACGAUUUCUCCCAACUCCAGCCACUUUACCGGCCGUGCUUGGUACCGAUCUGAAGCUUGGAAGCAGACCAUCGUAUCCCUGCUGUUAUCGUCGCCGGAAACUGGCCAGAACGCCGGUGAUCGAGCUCGAAAAGUCGCGGCUUCGACCCGUUUUCGUUGCCGUUGAUCCCGCCGGAGUUGUGACGCGCCACCACUUGGAACUGGUUCCUCACAUCCCCAGCAACAUUUCCCGACCAGCAACGACCGCCGGGGACGCCCGGAACUCGCCGAAUGAUCUCCGAAAAUUUGCGGAACUUUGGAACUUCGAUCCGCCGCCGGUAGCGCGCGUGGCGACUCACUGCCACCACCGUUGGAUUCAUCGAGGCCGGAACUAGCAGACCUAAGCUCCCCGUCAUCGUUGACUGAAGUCCGGUCACCGUUGACCGGCAGGGGCAAUUCGGUAAAUUCAUGAAACUUUGGGGUGAAUUUGUAAUUUUAUGUAAUCAGUGGACAUUUCGGUAAUUUUAUGCCCUGAGGGUAAUUUCGUAAUUUCGGACAAUGUGAUUAAUUUAUGUAAUCUGAAUUGAGGACAAUAUGGGUAUUAACGAAUAUGAGGAUAAUUUGGUAAAAUCAUGAAGUUUGAGGAUAAGUUGGUAAAAUAUUGAUGUUGGGGUAUUUUGGUAAUUUUGGCCUAUAGGGGCAUUUUGGUAAUUUUAUACAUGCGGGACUAGUUUAUCGUUAAUAGAUAUUUGUUUCGAGAUUUAUUAUAUUAAUUGGUUUUUACGGAGAAUAAUUAUGGUGUUUUCCGUGAUUAGGAGGAUCCGCAUCCGCGAACGAGAAUCUACCCGCGGACGUUGUUGAUACUGAGUCUAGACAUCAUCACUGUGAGUGGAAUAUACAAAACCUAUUUUCAUAGUAUAUGCUGAUUUUCUUAUAUAGUACAGUAUGUUUGAGAAAUAAAUGUUUAAUGCGUUGAUUUAAUGAUUUUCCAGCGAAUUGACUUUUAUUUAUGUGUUGAUAUUUAUUAUGAUUGAGAAUGAGUUCGAUUUAUGAUUUUAUUAGCGUUUUUGAGUAAAAGCAUGAUAUUAGAAUUGAGCAGACUUGAGAUAUGUUGAAUAGAAAGAAAAUGAGAUUUCAGAUGGGAUCAUAUGUUUACUAUCAGUUUUGAAAUCAUUAGACAGUACCCUUCCCUCCAGAUACAGAGAUACAGAUAAAAAGAGAUACAGAUAAGAGAUACAGAUAAGAUGAGAUAGAGGCCUUUGGGGCCCGUCGGGACACACAUAGAGGCUUUGGGCCGUGUGUUCGGGCGCUUUUGCCUUUUGGGGGCUUAUGCAUGCACAGUACAGAUAUAUGAGAUAAGAGAUAUGAGAUAUGAGAUGAGAUCGUCCCCAUCUAUCCGUUGUGGCUCCGGGGCGUGACGUUACCCAGAUAGUGCGUUAUUGCCUGGCCGUUGUAGCCCGGAUAUGAUCAGAUUAUCCCCUGGGUACUUGUUUGAUGACAGUUUUUAGUAUUCAGUAUUUAAUAUGAGUAUGGUGAUUCCAUCGAUUUUAUGCAGAUUUAUUAUUGCAGUUAUUCAAUUUGAAUUAAAUGAGUUUAUGAUAUUUUGAGAAAUUGAUUUGAGAAUUGAUUUACGAAAUUGAAAUUGAUUUAAGAAAAGAUUUGAGAAAGAUUAAAUGAUUUUGAAUAAUUUAUUAAAGUAUCAGCACCUACUAUCCACUCACUGAGCUCACUGAGUUUUAUACUCACCCCUCUUUUAUUAUAUUUUUCCCCCCACAGGAGAUUUACAGGUACAUCAGUCAACCCAGUAGUGAACGUUAGUUUGAUAUUGUGGUCACGUGAUGGUGCUAGAAGUCGUGGAUUUUAUUAUUAUAUUCGAAAUUUGUGUUAUUAUUUUAUGUUAUUAAGGAUAAUCGUUGUAUUUUAAUAUUCGGAUGAUUUUGGUGAUAUUUGAGAAGUUGGUUUGAGAAGUUGGUUAUGGAGGAUGUUUGGUUAUUAAAUUAUUUCGGGAGUGUUAUUUUGUCAAUUGCAGGGUUGGAUAUGUUUUAUUUAUAAGGGAGACUCUGCCGAAAUUUUUAUAGAUUUGUUAUUAAUUCGAUUUUACGAGUUUAGAUAGACUCGCCCUGGGGGAGGUUGCGGGGCGGGUCGUUUCAGUUGGUAUCAGAGCAUGGUUUUAGAUUCUGUAGACUUUAUGGUCGUAAAUAGAAUAAGUUUUGAUUAUUAAGUCGGAUUUACUAUUUUGUAGGCACCAUCAUAAUUAAAUUAGUUAGAAGUAAAAUUAUCUCUCUAGUAUUAUGCAAGGGUAGAAAUUUGGGUUGUACCAUGUUAUAAUUAUCAAGGAUAGUUUUGAUAGAAUUCUAAUUGUAAUAUAUGACUGUAUAAAAAAAAAAGAACAUUAAUGAAAGAUGUUUAGGUAAGGACUAUCUUGGAAUAGAAUUUUGAUUGUAAUAUAUCAAUAUAUAAAAAAAAAAUUUAUGAAAAAUGUUUAACAAGGACUGUUUUGAUAUUUUAAUGAGUAGUAAAAAUUAAUGUUAAAAUUUGAUAGAACAUAUAUAAAUAAUCCUAGCUCUAAUAAAAUUUUGCUACAUAAUUAGUUUAUCCCUUAAAGAAACAUAUCAAAAAAAUAUACAAAAACACAAUGCAUGAGUACAUGUCAAUCACAAAUGAAAGCAAUUAAGAUAAAGAAUAUGAUUUAUUUUAUUUUAUUUUAGUUAUUUUUUUGUUUCUUUUGAAACAAGACCAAUUAGAUCUGCAAGAAGUAAUUUUUUAAAAAAAUAAUAAAAAAAGGAGAAAUGAUGAAACCCACGUCCAAAGAUGCCGUUGUCGCGGAGGCCUAGAUCUCACUACACCCCAUCCCCUUCUACCAUAUUUUAUAAUUGAAGAGGCCAUUAUUGAAUUGAAAAAUUAUGAUUCAAAUAUCCAAAAGUAGAAAAAGAAAAGCAAUUGUUGGAAACACACUCGGAGUUUUAAAUUGACAUGAGAAAAGAAUAUAUUCAUCAACCUCAUACGUUAAUGAUGCGACGAGUUUAAGAAUAUAUUCCUAACGUGUGGGAAUUUAAAGACGUUACUACAAAACAUGUGUUCGUCGGUGGAGUAGAAUCAGGGAAAUUAAAGAUGCUACUACAACCACUAACGUGUGGGUGGAGAUAAGCAUAACUUUUUUCAUCAAAUGCCAAAUCCCCCCAGGUGGAGAGUGGGGACUCCUUCGCAUAAAUGUUGAUAAAAUUUUGACUAUGAUGUUAUUAGGAAUUAAGGGAAACUGUGGUGCAAUUGUGGUAUCGUGUCACAGUUGUAUUUGGUCGUUGGAUGUCAGUAGACCCUACCCAUAUAAGUGUAUCUAAUGGCUAAAUGUAAUUAUAACACGGUACCGCAAUUGCACCGUAGCCGAACCCUAAAAAUUAAGAUAUUCUCUCUCUACGUAUGCCUGCACGAAAUAAAUAAUAUGCAAAUAUAGUAUUUUAGUUUAUUAUUAAUAGUUUUACAAUAAUAAAAAUCAUUUUGAUAGACUGGAAAAUGUCAUAUUCGCAUUUUAUUUUGUACGGACGUCUGCGAGAAAGAACAUAUAUAUAUAUAUAUAUAUAGAGGAACGUGUAUUUAAGAUUUAGCUAGUGUGAAGUUGGGAAAUUUUUUUUUUGAACCCAGGCUAAAAUUAUUUCAAUAAAUUUUGAUCAUGGAGACUAAUAAGAUUUUUUUAGUUAUAUUUAUUAAUUUUUUAGGGACUAAUAAAUUUUGAUCAUGGAGACUAAUAAGAUUUUUUUAGUUAUAUUUAUUAAUUUUUUAGGGACUAACAUGAAUAUUAAUAAUUUUAUUGAGAUUAUUAAAAAAACAAUGUGCUAUUUUACAUCUAUGACUUUUCCAAUCUUUUUUUCUUUCGUUAUUUAUUCCUUUGUGAAUUUUAGUUAAUGCUUGAUAUUAUUUUUUUGCUCAUUUUUUAAAGCAGUAAUUAAAUCUGAACCCUUACAGUAGAAGAUUAUGAAAAAGUAAAGACACAAAAAUCAUAAAAAUCAUUAGUACGUCCAAAUUGUGCUAUUUUCAUACAUAACUUGAGAAUAUUUAUAAUUACGCAUCAGAACUAGUGGAGUAGAAUCAGGGAAAUUAAACAUUCUACAAUCAUUGACGUGUGGGGUGGGGAUAAGCAUAAACCUUUUCUAUGCAGUAUAAAAGAAUGCAAUAACUCCUUUUGUUUCAUAUCUUCGCAGCAAAAGCACAUCUAAUAACUCUUCAGAAUUCUCGUCUUCUUUGUCAGAAUGGUUGAUGCGAUCGUUUCCUCUCUCCUGGGGCAGCUGAGCUCUGUUGCGGCUGAUGAAGUGAAACAGCAGGUGAGGCUUGUGACUGGUGUCCGACAAGAAGUGACAAAGCUUACCAGCAAUCUUCGAGCCAUUCGAGCUGUGCUGGAAGAUGCAGAGAAAAGGCAAAUGCAGCGCGACAAUGCUGUUACUUUUUGGCUGGAUCAGCUCAAAGACGCAUCUUACGACAUGGAAGACGUGUUGGAGGAGUGGACCACUGCAAGGCUCAAAUUGCAGAUUGAAGGCGUUGAUGAUGACAAUGCUCUUGCUCUUGCUCCUCAUAAGAAGAAGGUACGCUCCUUCUUUUGUGCUGUAUCAAACUGGUUUGGUAGUUUCAAACAACUUAGUCUUCGUCAUGACAUUGCCGUCAAGAUUAGGGAAAUCAAUGGAAAGCUAGAUGGUGUUGCCUCCCAAAAAGAUACGUUUAAAUUUGUUGAGAAUGUGAGCAACAAUGUUAAGAAACCAGAGCGAGUGCGAACCACCUCCUUGAUUGAUGAGGGAGAGGUUUGCGGUAGAGUUGAUGAGAAAAAUGAGCUCUUAAACAAGUUGUGUGAAAGUAGUGAACAACAACAAGGCCUUCAUGUCAUCUCACUAGUUGGGUUAGGGGGUAUAGGUAAAACCACUCUUGCACAACUAGCCUAUACUAAUGAUGAUGUGAAAAGAAAUUUUGAAAAAGUUAUAUGGGUGUGUGUAUCAGACACUUUUGAGGAGAUUAGGGUCGCCAAAGCAAUCAUUGAAGGUCUAGGCAUGUCAGCUUCUGGUUUAAGCGAAUUCGAAUCUCUUGUGAAACAGAUUCAGGAAUAUAUUACGGGGAAGAAAUUUUUUCUUGUUUUAGAUGAUGUGUGGGAUGUAGAUUACAAAAAAUGGGACCCAUUCUUUUCUUGUCUAAAGAAUGGCCACCAUGAAAGUAAAAUUCUAAUUACCACACGUGAUAGGUCAGUUGCACUACAGUUGGGAUCAAUAGAUAUUAUCCCUGUCAAGGAGUUGGCUGAAGAGGAAUGCUGGUCGUUGCUCGAGCGGUUAGCAUUCUUCCGUCGUUCUGUUGAUGAUCAUGAAAAAUUAGAACCAAUCGGGCGAAAAAUUGCACACAAGUGCAAAGGCCUGCCUCUUGCUGCAAAGGUAAUAGGGAAUCUCUUGCGCUCUAAAAUUACAGUAAAAGAGUGGCAAAGAAUUUUAGAUAGUGAAAUGUGGAAAGUACAAGAGAUUGGGCAAGAUCUUUUGGCCCCUUUGUUGUUGAGUUAUAACGAUUUGCCCUCCAAUUCUAUGGUAAAACGGUGUUUCUCAUAUUGUGCUGUCUUUCCAAAAGACUACGAGAUGGAUAAAGAGGAGUUGAUUGAUCUGUGGAUGGCUCAAGGUUACCUUAAUGCAGAAGAAGACGAAGAGAUGGAGAUGAUUGGGGAAGAGUGUUUCAACAUUUUAGCAGCACGCUCUUUCUUUCAAGAGUUUGAGAAAAAUGAUGAUGAUGAUGAUAUUAGGAGUUGCAAGAUGCAUGACAUAGUACAUGAUUUUGCCCAAUUUGUAAGUAGAAAAGAAUGUUUGUGGGUAGAAAUGUAUGAUAACAAAGAAUCAGUCAUAAAGUCUUCUGGUGUCAAAGUCCGUCACUUAGGGUUAAAUUUUCAAAGAGGAGCUUCAUUUCCUACGUCCUUUUUUGAAUUUGAUAGAUUGCGUAGCCUCUUAAUUUAUGAUAGAAGUUAUUCCAAUCAGGUUCUUAAUAGUAAAUUGGCGUGUUUAAGGACAUUAGUUAUAAGGCAAUCGUUCCAAUAUUUUUAUCCUAUUUCUCUUGACUCAAAUGCGAUUAGAGAAAUUCCAGAAAAUGUUGGAAAAUUGAUACAUUUAAAAUAUCUUAAUUUGUCUAAAUUAGCCAUAGAGAUACUACCUGAGACUUUGUGUGAAUUAUAUAAUUUACAAAAGCUAGAUAUUAGGGAGUGCCGAUAUCUUAGGGAAUUGCCAGCGGGGAUUGGGAAGUUAAAGAACAUGAGAAGUUUACUGAAUGAUAAAACUUAUUCAUUGAAGUACAUGCCAAUAGGGAUUUCCAGAUUGACCAGCCUUCGAACAUUAGAAAAGUUUGUUGUGGGUGGAGGUGUUGAUGGUGGCAGCACGUGUAGGCUUGAAUCUCUGAAAAAUCUUCAACUCCUUCGUGAAUGUAGAGUAGAAAGGCUGAGUAAUGUAUCGCAUGUAGAUGAGGCUGAGAGGUUACAACUUUACAAUAAGAAAAACCUCCUUCGUUUGCGUCUUUGGUUUGGUGGAGUCGUAGAUGGGGAAGGCGAAGAAGGGAGGAGGAAGAAUAUUGAGAAAGAUAAACAACUUCUUGAAGCCUUACGACCGCCUUUGAAUUUAGAGGAAUUAGGGAUUGUAUCCUACCAAGGCAACAUUUUUCCCAAAUGGUUGACUUUGCUAACCAAUCUAAGGAAUUUAUUUCUUUCCUCGUGCGUUAACUGUGAGCAUUUGCCUCCUUUGGGAAAAUUGCCUCUGGAAAAACUCAAACUAUGGAAAUUAAAAAGUGUAAAAAGAGUGGGUAAUGAGUUUUUGGGAAUAGAAGAAAACAGUGAGGACGACCCAUCUUCAUCUUCAUCGUCAUCAUCAGUUAUUGCCUUCCCCAAAUUGAAAUCACUCGAAAUUUGGGACAUGGAGGAAUUGGAAGAGUGGAAUUACAGGAUUACGAGGAAGGAAAACAUCUCCAUCAUGCCCCGUCUUUCUUUCUUAAAAGUUGUUUUUUGCAACAAAUUAAAGGCGCUGCCGGAUUACCUUCUUCAAACGACGGCACUGCAGGAACUGCGUAUUUUUUCUUGUGAUCUUCUAGAAGAACUGCCCAUUCUAGAAGAUCGCAGGACAACAGACAUUCCACGUCUUUCUUCCUUGCGAAUUUCGGAUUGCCCCAAAUUAAAGGUGCUGCCGGAUUACCUUCUUCGGACGACGACGCUGCAGGAAUUGACUAUUGACGAAUGUCCCCUUCUGGAAAACCGUUAUAGAGAGGGGAAAGGAGAAGACUGGCAUAAGAUAUCUCACAUUCCCCACAUCGAGUGGUAAAUUCUCGAAUGGUUGCAAUUACUAUCACCCACCGGUAAUUUCUCACCUCUAUUUUACUUUGUUGUUACUUCAAACAACGACACUGCAAACAUUGACAAUUUGUACAUAUCAAUAAAAUGUACAAAGUUAAAAAUAUAGAAUGCAUUAGUACAUGUCAAUAACAAGACCAAUUAGAUUAUGGCAUUGCUUUAUUUUAUUUAUUUAUUUUUUUGAUUCUUUUGAAACAAGAUCAAUUAAUUAGAUCAUGCUAGAAGUUAAUUUUUUUUUUCAAAUGAAAAAGGAGCAGUCAUACAAAGUUUGAAUAUAAAAUUUAUAAUCUAAAACUAAUAAUGUGACAAUUAGCAUGUUAUUAACCUAUCUAAUAGAGUAGGAAGUCCCAAAUACAUCAUAUUCUGCUCCAGAAAUCCAUUCCACCUAGAAUACUUCUUUCUAUUGAAAUUAAUGAUGAUUUGUUUGUUUGCAUCAUGAAAGUUAAAAAUAAUUUUAUGAGUAAUUUGAUUCUUUACGGUACAAAAAAUAAAUUUGGAAAGUACUAAUUUCUCUCAUACUUUUUGGGCUAAAAAAUAAAUGUAACUCCAACAUAUUUAUUAUUUAAUGGUUCUAUAUAGAAUCAAUCGUGGUAUAAAUAUGUAAAACUUCCUAGUUAUCAAUUUUGUCUUGCAUAAUGAUAAUCGUUUUUUUUUAUAUAUAAUUUAUGUGACAUUAAUUCUUUAAAGUAAUUGUGGAAUUGUUUUUACUACAUUAGCCCUCUUUGUUUUAUUUCAUACGAGUUUAAUUAUGUUCACCAGGGAUUCGAGGAAAUGUCAGAACCACACUAGCAAUUCACAGGUCCAAUCUAAUUUGGUUUUAAUGAUGCAGGCAGGAGAGUAUGCUAAGAAAAUGAAAAGUUUAGCCAAAGGAUUGCUAAAAUGUUCUGCUGGUAAUUCACUUGCUUUAUUUUAUAGAAUUUCAUUUCCAUCUUCUUCUAUUGAUAUCUUGUUGUGAAUAAACAAGAACAGAGAAGUAAAGAUAUAUCAAAAUUAACUAUUACGAUGAUGCUAAAGCAAGCUCAAGCUCAAGCAUUGCAUUUUUAUUUUAUUUAAUUUAUAGAAUUUUCAUUUCCACCUGCAUUGCAUUUUUAUUUAUUUUUAGGUUGACUUUGAAUACUUCAUGGUGAAAAUGACGAGUUCAGCCAAAGGAUUGCUAAAUGUUCUGCUGGUAAUUCACUUGCUUUAUUUUAUAGAAUUUCAUUUCCAUCUUCUUCUAUUGAAUCUUGUUGUGAAUAAAGAAGAACAGGUAAGUAAAUGAUUGAACCACAGAGAAGUAAAGGUGUAUCAAAAUUCGCUAUUAUGAUGAUGUUAAAGCAAGCUCAAGCACAAGCAUUGCACUUUAUAUUUUAUUUAGUUAAUAGAAUUUUCAUUUCCACCUGCAUUUCAUUUUUAGGUUGACUUUGAAGACUCUAUGGAGAACAUUGGGGUAACCAAGGAUUAUCACUGUGGUUAUUGUGCAACGUUUGGUUGCUGGACUUUGAAGAAGGAAGUGAUGGCCGGGUCUGCUCUGUUUCAAUUGAGGAUGGAUAGCUGCCUGAAAGACAUGAUGAUUAUUAUUGUGUGAUGUUAAGGUGCUGAGAUCAUCAUUGCUAUCUUGUUUCAUUCUUGGAAUCAUUUAUCCUGUAUAAACAUUUGUUUUAACAAAUGUUUCAAUGGCUGCUGUAGUAACAAUUUCAUAUCUUGCAUCUCUCGGGUGCAUCAUGAUCACGGGUUUGAGAAAGCAUUUGUGGUAAAGCUUCAAAGCUUGUACAAUGGCUGUGAAAAGGCACAUUCAAUUCGGUACGUUUGGUGCGGUCUCCUAAUGCUACUACCAUAUUUUGUAUAGCAAUUAAAAUUCAGGUAUACAAUCUUAAUAUGCAAUAAAUCAUUGAGUACAAAGUUAUCUAUUAAUUAUAUGGUAACUGAAAUUUUCAUUAUAAUUUUAAUUAUCAUAUUAAUAUUAAAGUUUUUUGUAACCCUCUUUUACUUUGCUUGUACAGAGUAUCUGUUUUGGCUGAUAUGUCUAAUUCGUAGCAAUUCAUUUCCAUCGGUUUCCAUUGGUUUUAGCACAAACAGAAACAAAAAUCUGGGGAAAAAGUUUUACUUCUUGUGGUAUUAUGCCUUUAUUUAUUCAUUCAUCAUAUUUGUUCGAAUUCAUGCUCUCAUUCAGAGAGCAGCCUUUUCCAGGCUACUUUGUAGCCAAAUUUUCAUGCCAUCGAUGCAUGAUUGUCAUUUAGAUUUUCCAAAUAAUUGUUAGAUUGAAGAAGAAUAAGAAGAUAUUGUUAAAAGGGUAUUUAAUUAGCACCCUCUGAAUUUAGUUGCCAAUAAUGCAUUGAAAUGGUUGGGGAAAGUUAUUGUCUCACUUAAAUUACAGGUGAUAAGAUGCUGCUCCAAUUUUGCAAGCAUCUCGUGUUGCGAAGAUUUUGCCCACAUGAGAUGUUAUGAUUUUUGACAUCAGGGUAACACAGGUCAAAUUUUAGCAUCAAUAGAUAUCAUCUUCUUUACUGUUCUGCUCGAAAUAUUAAACUUUAGGCAAGUUGUUUUUGGUUGUGUGAGUUAUCAGGUUAAGGAUACUAAGCAGCUUAUUAAGGCAAAUGUCAGAAUGCAGAUUGCUCACCACACCUGGUAUGCAUGAUGGCCAGGAAGAUUAAUUGUUCACAAGCCAAUUUGAUCAGUGUUAGAUUUUUUUCCUCCUUUCGAGGGACAUCAUCAUCAAAUUUGAGUAGAGAAUCUUUGAAGGGAAUUUUGUUGUAAGAGUUUCACAGUAGUGAAUUCUAGAAGCUCGAACUCACUUGAGUGAGAUAUUAGGGAGUAUUGGGGAUUUGGGUUAUGAGUAAUCAUUAUCCUUCCAAUAUGUGUAAGCACUCACUUGUUAGUAAAAUCAUCUUCGUAUAUUGACUAUGUUUCUUUGUUAUCAGGUAGAGUGUGAUCUUCAAGGGUUUGAGAAAGUCCUUGCAGUAAAGUUUCCACCACAAGUAAUUGCUCAGUUUCAGAUUUUCUAGGCGUUUAAUUAGUUUCGAUUAUAAUAUUUAGUCACUCAUUCUGAAUCUUUUCUAAUUUUCAAGUUCCUUAGGGUCACAAUCAUUUUUUCAAGUCUGCUGUGGCUGCAAAAAGAUUGUUGGUCAUAAAAUUAUCUUGACCCUUGAGCCAUUGCGUUUGAGCACAAACAGAAACAGAGCUAAAGGAAAAGAACUUGACGCAAGAAGAUGCUCUGAAUAUAACAAAAGUAUAUUUCUACUUCUUGUGGUUAUUUACUUUUGUUUCUCCUGUCAGCAUAUUUGAUUAAUUCGUUCGAAUUCACACUCUCACACAUUAUUUAAAACCAUUUGUAGGUGGCUUGCAAGCUAAUUAAGUUAAUGCAGAAGCAAUACUCUAGACUUUAGUGAAGUUGUUUUUGUUUGUGUAAGUUAUCAGGUUAAGGAUACUAAGCAGCUUAUUAAGGCAAAUGUCAGAAUGAAGAUUGUUCACCGCACCUGGUAUGAAUGAUGGCGAGGAAGAUUAAUUGUUCACAAGCCAAUUUGAUCAGUAUUAGAUUCUUUUGCCUCCCUUCGAGAGAUAUCAUCAUCAAAUUUGAGAAGAGAGUUUUGUUUUGACAUUUCACUGUAGUGAAUUUUGGGAGCUUGAACCCACUUCAGUGAAAUAUUAGGGAAUACUGGGGAUAUGGGUUAUGAGUGAUCGUUAUCCUUCAAAUAUUUGUAAGCUCUCACUUGUUAGUAAAACCAUCUUCGUAUAUUGACUUUGUUUCUUUGUUGUCCGGCCGAGUGUGAUCUUCAAGGUUUGAGAAAGUCUUCGCAGUAAAAUUUCCACCACGUGCAAUUGCAGUGAAGGGGCAUAUACAUUUGAGUAAUUCAGUUUCAGAUUUUCAAGGCGCGUUUGUUUAAUUAGUUUCGAUUAUAAUAUUUAGUCACUCAUUCUGAAUCUUUUCUAAUUUUCAAGUUCUUUAGGGCCGCCAACAGUUUUUCAUGUCUACAUGUGGCUGCAAAAAGAUUGAUGGUCAUCAAAUUAUCUUGAGCCUCGAGGCAUUGCAUUCGAGCACAAAGGGAAACAGAGCUAAGGGAAAUGAAGACAGUAGGAGAUGCUCUGAAUAUAACAAAAGUAUAUUUCUACUUGUGGUUAUUUUAAUUUUGUUUCUCCUGUCAUCAUAUUUAAUUAAUUCGUUUGAAUUCACACUCUCACACAUUAUUUAAAACCAUCUGCAGGUGAUAGAAUAUGGGAGACGUUGUUAAUGGAAAAACAGUACUCUAGACAAAGAUGAGCAAAUUGAAGGCGACAAAUGCAAAUUGGAUUUCCAUGAAUAAUUGUUAGGCUGGUGGAGAUAUUCUUAAAAGGGCAUUAAGCUAUCUUAUGGAAUUGGAAAGUUAUUAUUACUUGAAAGCAAGCAGCAUCUUCGUUGCGAAGGCUUUCCCCACUUGAUAAGAUGCUGAGAUUGUUAUCGGCCCCUUAAUUAUUUAUUAACUCAGGUAUUUAUUAUCAGUACAUCAUCUUAUUCACCAUUUUGGCUGUAUAUAAAGAUUAAAAUUUCUAACAGUUGUUUCGGAUUCUUGUGUACUCAGGUUAAUAGGGCAAAUGUCAGAAUGAAGAUUGCUCAGUGCAACCGAUAUAGCAAGGAUGAUAGUUGUGAGGAAGAUUGUUGGCAAGCCAAAUAGAGCCCUCCAUUUGGAGAAAUAUCAUCCUCAAAUUUGAAUUGUUGAGCAUGUGAGGUGAAGCUAAAGCCUUAAUAAUGAGACCUUCCUGUGGAAGUUUCAUUUGAAUGAAUUGAACGUUCUUAGUGAGUGAGAAAUUAAGCAUAUAUCAGCGAUUUUGGUCGUCAGUGAAUGUUUUCCUUCAAUAUUAAUACACUGGCAUUUCUUAGUAAAUUCCCUUCACGUCACUUCCUCCUUGUUGGUGGGAUUAGUAAACAAAUGCCAUUUCUUAGUACAUUUUGAGAAUUUUGACUCCCAAAUAAGCCUGCAGAGCGGUGUAUGGUGGGAUUAGCUGCAGGAUUCUUUGCCAAACUUCCUUUUUAUUCCUUUGUUCACUUAUUCGUUAUAAAUAAAGUAAAAUUAGAAUAUUGUUCCGUUUACUGUCUAAGCUGGUCUAACAUUUGUUUAAUUUGGGCAAUUUUUAAUGCCUAACAGGUUAUCUGUGACAAACCCAUCAGUGAGUGUAUGCAACUAUUGCGUGGAUUUGAUAGAGUGGUCACCAACAAUUUUGAAGUUAUUGGAGUAGCACGGCUUUGAGGUCUCUCCCUCCCUCUUUUACGUAUUUGUCUAUUGAUCGACAUGUCUAUAUAUACAUUGAUAGACCAACUUACUCUUGUUUUAAUGUUUUGUUUGUUAAAAUUUGACUGGGUUAUGUUUAUUUGUCUCAUAUGAUGUCAAUGUGGUUCCUAUUGAAGUGUAUAGAUCUGUCACCUCAAAGUCUGAUUUCAAUUUUCCUUUACUUCAUCAACUAGCAUCCUUUCCAAGUCCAGAUACUUACCAAUAGUGAUACUUUGCUACGGAAGUACAAUUUCUCUUGUUUUACAGUUAAUUAUGAAAGAAAAGUUUUAAAUUUACAGAAUUCUGGUAUAGCUCUCUUAAGGAAAUGCGAGUGGUGAAUAUGGUUCCAACUUUUAAUAGGCUUAAUAGGCCCAUUUGUUGAGCCACAGUGAUUGCGGUGUAAAUUCUUCUUUACUGUCUAUAUGUGUUGGAGUUUGUCUAUUGUCCAACUUCUCAAAUCGAUUCCAUGCAGGGUUUUGAAUGUCUAAUUAGGAGAACGAUUAACGGAUGACCUUUUGAAGAAGGCUUACACAACAGGCCAUCUCGGGAUGUCAUGGCUCAGCUCAAAAGUCCCCAGGUGGGUGAUAUCAAAGAAUGCCAUUGUUUCUGGGCUUGGUCUCCUUGGCAUCAAACAAGAUAAUGUUGACUGCAUAAAUUUGUUGGAGUUAAUGUAGUCAAUUGCCCAAUUUCGCUGCCUAUCGAAGAGACACAUCAUGGAAGUCCUCAUCAAACUCUGAGACACCUAAGAAAUAGUAGGAGGUGGUGGUACUUGCCUGGGGUUAAUUUCCUGGCAAGUAUAGUUCACUGAUAGAGGGAAUCUUCUCUUGAUGUCUAAAUACCGUAUGUGAUACAACGUCGUAUAUUCUAAUUUUCCUUGAGUUAAAUUCUAGUCAGUUAGGAAAGUUAAUUUUGUUUUCGCUAUGGAUUGUUUCCUAGAUAAUAAUAGUUUCCAUGUUCCUUUGGGGUCUUAUUAACUCUCUGUAACCCAGUUCAAGUUUGCAAAUUCUAUUUCAGAUUUCUCAUAUAGUGUGCCUUUGUGACUUCUGUGAUACACUUUUGAUCACAAGUUUCCAUUUGAAGUAGCCAAUAUUCUUUAUAGACUAAUUAUCUAAGGAUUAUUUUAUACAAAAAAUGAAAACUUUAAUUAAUUGAUCAUACUUAACUUAGCUCUUGUUUAAUAUUACGAGCUGUUGUGAGAACAAAAAAAUAGCAGAAAGUUGACAGUGUGCAGUAAAUGUAUGACUUUUAAAUAAUAAUUUAAUAAAAUUAAUAAAGAUAUUAUAAGUUUUUUAAUAAUAAAGUAUGAGAUCAAAUUAAAUUAAUUAAUUUUGAAUUAUUUUAUUAUUGUCAAAAUGUAAUAUCUUAAAUAACAGUUAUUUUUAUUAAGAAUAUUUUUUUGGUAAUGAAUUAUACUUUUUAAAAUAUAAUUGAAAAUUCUUAUUAAUGAACUAAUAAAAAAUUAAUUAUUUGAGUUAUCUCCUAAACUACUUAGCUCACGAGAUAAAUUCACUUAGUUUAGAACGAAGCGGUGGGUUUUAUGUGGGAAGCCACAUCCUUACCACAUCAACCUCAACAUCGAAACAUGGAAUUGGACUAAAAAUAGUUCUUUCCCAUGUAUUUACGUAACCUCCUCCCAGUAAACGCAAAUAUGUAUUCUUGAGUGCAUGUAAUCCACAAGUUUGAUUGAGUAGAAGAUGUCGUUGUCACAAAGGCCUGGACGCCAUACCUCGAAUGAUAUGUUAGUAUGAAAUUAUGUUUUUUUUUUUUUUUUUGAGAGAGGUAUGAAAUUAUGUGAAAAUUAAUAUAUCACUUUUUUUUUCUUUUUUCCUUUUUUGCGUGAGUGAUGGCUUCGUUGAAUGACAGUUGGCAAAUAAUAAGUUAUCUUUUAAUUUUGGUUUUGAUUUGAAAAAAAUAUUAAUUUUUGUAGUUUCGGUAGAUGAAAUUUCGAAUCAAAUAUUAAUAUUGUUAAAGUACGCAACCCAAUAUUUGCUUAAAUUACAAAAAAGAUUAAUUACUUUGCAUAAAAAAAAAGUGAUCACUUGAUUUAACUUCCUUUACUAAAUUUACGAUUUAAAAUCCAAAAUAAAAAAAAGGAAAACAAUUUUUGGACACACACUCGGAGUUUUAAAUUAAUAUGAAAAACGAGUUUAUUAUUGAUAGGAAAACAAUCAAGUGAUCACUUGAUUUAACUUCCUUUACUAAUUUUACGAUUUAAAAUCUAAAAUAAAAAAUUGUUUAUUAUUGAUUGUCUUUUUCCCAAAAUUUAAGCUAAAACAGUAAUAUGUCCAAAAUACCCUCCACGUUAUCCUAAAACUUUAUAAACUCCCCCGUUCCUCUCAACAUCAUCUCUUCCAAAUCUUUCUCCCCCAAAAAACCAGCCAUGGCUUCAUAUUUAGUUACCUCAACACUCCAAUAUUGGCUUGUAAACAGUAGUGGUUCGACCUCUAGGCAACUUAGGUGGUUGUAUAGGACUCCGCUUUAUAUGAAAACCCUACGAGAUGAUUAUUUUGUAUAUAAAAGAGGAAAAUGAAUUUAAAAGUGAUUAUUAUUUAUUUAAUUUAUUAUUAUUUUGUAAUUAUCUUUUUCUAAAUAAACUAUCAAAUUCUUAUAAAGUUUAUUUAAUGUACUACUUAAUUGUUUUAAUUAAUUUCUACAAAACCAAUAAAUUAAUAGUUUCAAUCCUAAACAUUCUCUAUUUCAUUGUUAGAAUUAAUAAGUUAUAUUUCAAAAGUUUUAUAUUUAUUUUAAACCUCUAUAAAAGCCCCACAUUUUAUUACUUAUCCAUUACAUUUUUCCUCCAACAAUCAAGACAUCUUGGUGUUUUAGAGAAAGAAAGAGAAAGAAGGAAAAAAAUCUUGCUUCCCCUACUUUCUACUCUAGAAGAAACAGAAAAAAUCUAAUAGUUUUCUCUAUUUUCUAUGACUAUUGGUCGUUACUCAAAUUUUCAAACAAUAGCCUUAAUAUAAAUAUAAGUUAAUUUAUGAUUUCAUCUCAAAUUUUUGAUUUUAUCUUUUUAUUAUUCUCUUAAUUAGUUGUGUUUUAUUUGUUCUUAUUUCUUUUUAAUAUAUUCUUUUAUUCAUCUAAUUUUUUUUUGUGCUUGUUUUAUCUAUUUUGAAAUAAAACUAUAUCAAAAAACUUUAGACAAUAGAAGAAUAGAAAAAUUAGUUUAAUUUAAAAAAAAAAGUAAAAAGAUAUAAUUUAACUUAAAAAAAUAAAUGAAAAUGUUAUAAUUGAAUUAAAAUUUUAUGAAUUAACAUCAAUGGAAUGAAUUUUUAUUUAAUAAUUUUACAUUUUAAAGUGUUUAAAGAAUUAAUUUUCAAUAAAUAAUAUACGUUAUAUACCUUCUAGAAGAUAUAUAACGUAUUUCAAUAAAUAAUUGUACAUUAUGAAUUAACAUCAAUGGAAUGGAUUACCUUCUUCAAACGACGGCACUGCAGGAACUGAGUAUUUCUUAUUGUCCAAUUAUGGAAGAACUGCCCAUUCUAGAAGAUCACAGGACAACAGACAUACCACGUCUUUCUUCCUUGCGAAUUUGGAAUUGCCCCAAACUAAAGGUGCUGCCGGAUUACCUUCUUCGGACGACGACGCUGCAGAAAUUGACAAUUUGGGGAUGUCUCAUUCUGGAAAACCGUUAUAGAGAGGGGGAAGGAGAAGACUGGUAUAAGAUAUCUCACAUUCCCCACAUCAAGUGAUCGCCGUAAUUUAUCACUCGCCGGUAAUUUCUCCUCCGCCUCUGAUUUACUUCGUUGUUGCUUGCAAUGAAAUUAAUAAAAAUAAUUAUAUUUUGAAUUAAAAUUUCUAUACUUAUUUACUUUUAAAAAAUAUGUGCUCUUUUGUAAAAUUUCAUGCAAUGUAAUUUAUUUUUUAAUGUACGAUAAUUUGUUGUGUGUAACUUCCUGAGAGACAAAAUCUCUGUGAUACAUUUGCAGUAAUGUUGAAAACUAAAUUAUCAAUUUUAUCUUGUAUAAUGAUAAUCUUAUUUUUUUAUAUAUAAUUUAUGUGACAUUAAUUCUUUAAAGUAAUUGUGUAAUUGUUUUUACUACCAGUUUAUGUUUCAUUUUAAUUAUGUUCACCAGGGAUUCGAGGAAAUGUCAGAACCACACUAGCAAUUCACAGGUCCAAUCUAAUUUGGUUUUAAUGAUGCGGCAGGAGAGCAAGACUAUGAAAAUGAAAAGUUUAGCCAAUGGACUGCUAAAAUGUUCUGCUGGUAAUUCACUUGCUUUAUUUUAUAGAAUUUCAUUUCCAUCUUCUUCUAUUGAUAUCUUGUUGUGAAUAAACAAGAACAGAGAAGUAAAUGAUUGAACCACAGAGAAGUAAAGAUAUAUCCAAAUUCGAUUAUUAUGAUGAUUAAAGCAAGCUCAAGCUCAAGCAUUGCAUUUUUUAUUUUAUUUAGUUUAUAGAAUUUUCAUUUCCACCUGCAUUGCAUUUUUAUUUCAUUUUUAGAUUGACUUUGAAGACUCUAUGGAGAACAUUGGGGUAACCAAGGAUUAUCACUGUGGUUAUUGUGCAACGUUUGGUUGCUGGACUUUGAAGAAGGAAGUGAUGGCCGGGUCUGCUCUGUUUCAAUUGAGGAUGGAUAGCUGCCUGAAAAACAUGAUGAUUAUUAUUGCAUGAUGUUAAGGUGCUAAGAUCAUCCUUUCUAUCUUGUUUCAUUCUUGGAAUCAUUUAUCCUAUAUAAACAUAUUGAAUUGUGCUAAUAUUAUCAUAUGCGUAAAUGGAGGCAGGAAUUUGGUGUUGACACUAUUAUGCAGGUAACCACACUUGAUAAUUGGCACAAAUUUGCGUUGUCAGAAUAUCCUUUAAUAUUCAACGUGUCUCUUUGUGUUAUCAGGAGUAUCAUGUCCAAGGGUAAAGGUGCUGCCGGAUUGGUGGAUGCCCCAAAUUAAAGGUGCUGCCGGAUUACCUUCUUCAAUCGACGACACUGCAGAUAUUGAGUAUCUUUUUGUGAAAAUAUGGAAGAACUGCCCAUUCUAGAAGACCGCAGGACAACAGACAGAUCACUUGCCCCAAAUUAAUGAUGCUGCCGGAUUACCUUCUUCAAACAAUGACACUGUGGAUAUUGAGUAUUUAUGAAUGUCCUAUUCUGGAAAAACGUUACAGAGAGGGGGAUGGAGAAGACUCGCAGAAUGUUAAGGUGCUAAUAUCAUCAUUUCUAUCUUGUUUCAUUCUUGGAAUCAUUUAUCCUAUAUAAACAUAUUGAAUUGUGCUAAUAUUAUCACUUGUGUCAAUGGAGGCAGGAAUUUGGUGCUGAAACUAUUAUGCAGGUAACCACACUUGAUAAUUUGCACAAAUUUGCGUUGUCAGAAUAUCCUUUAAUAUUCAUUGUGUUUCUUUGUGUUAUCAGGUUAUCAUGGUAUACAGAGUAUCAUUUUCAAGGGUUUGUAAGAGCUUUCGCAGUAAAGUUAGUCAUCACCACCUUGUGCAAUUGCACAUACAUUCAGAGUACUUCAAUAUUAGAUUUUCAAGGUUUGUAUGUUUAGUUGCGAUUAAAAUUUUUAGUCACUCAUUCUUAAUCUUUUCUAAUUUUCAAGUUCUUUAGGGCCAUAAACAGUUUUUCCAACUCAUUCUUAUUUUUUAGGUUGAUUUCGAGUACUCUGUGGAGAACAUUAGUGAGACAAAGGAUUAGACUGGCGAUGGAACUGCUGCCUCUGUUGUUAUUGUGCAAGGUUUGAUCACUGGACCUUGAACACGAAAGCCUUACACGCAUUCUGUAAUUCAAGCGUUCUCUAAAACGAACGAGCAGUAGAAGGAAUAGUGAUGACCGGAUCUGCUCUAUUUUAAUUGAAGAUCUCUGUGAUAUUGAGGGGCUUAAAGUAGUUGAUGCUUUUUGAAAAUUGUUAUUACGGAUGAAUUCAUUCCUGAAGACGAGUAGCUAAUGAUUGUUAAGGCUUAUUUUCUUAAAGUUCCUUUCUUAACAAGUGUUUCAAUGCUGGCUGUAGUAACAUUUUCAUAUCUUGCAUCUCUCGGGUGCAUCAUGUUCACAUGUUUGAAAAGGCAUUUGUGGUAAAGCUUCAAAGGUUGUACAAUGGCUGUGAAAAGGCAUAUUCAAUUCGGUACGUUUUGGUGUGGUCUCCUAAUGCUAAUAUGAUAUUUUGUAUAGCAAUUAAAAUUUAGGUAUACAAUCUUAAUAUGCAAUAAAUCAUUGUGUACAAAGUUUUCUAUUAAUUAUAUGGUGACUGAAAUUUUAAUUAUCAUAUCAAUCUUAAAUUUUUUUGUAACUCACUUUUACUUUGCUUGUACAGAGUACCUGUUUUGGCUGAUAUGUCUAAUUCGUAGAAAUUCAUUUCCAUCGGUUUCCAUUGGCUUUAGCGCAAACAGAAACAGAGCUCUGGGAAAGAGUUUGACUUCUUGUGGCAUUAUGCCUUUGUUUCUUCAUUCAUCAUAUUUUUCAAAUUCAUGCUCUCAUUCAGAGAGUAAAGCCUUUUCCAGGCUGCUUUGUAGACAAACUUUGACUCCAUUGAUGCAUGACUGUCAUUUAGAUUUUCCAAGAAACUGUUAGAUUGGAGAAGAAUAAGAAGAUAUUGUUAAAAGGGUAUUUAAUUAGCGCCCUCUGAAUUUAGUUUCCAAUAAUGCAUUGAAAUAGUUGGGGAAAGUUAUUGUCUUAAUUAAAUUACAGGUGAUAAGAUGCUGCUUCAAUUUUGGAAGCAUCUCGUAUUGCGAAGAUUUUGCCCACAUGAGAUCCCGUGAUUCUUGACAUCAGGGUAACGCAGGUCAAAUUUCACUUUCAAUAUAUAUCUCUUCUUUACUAUUCUGCCUCUAAAUAUUAAACUUUAGGCAAAUUGUUUCUUGUUUGUGUAAGUUAUCAGGUUAAGGAUACUAAGCAGCUUAAUAGUUCGCCACACCUGGUAUGAAUGAUGGCCAGGAAGAUUAAUUGUUCACGAGCCAAUUUGAUCAGUGUUAGAUUUUUUGCCUCUCUUUGAAAGAUAUGAUCAUCAAAUUUGAGUAGAGAAUCUUUGAAGAGAAUUUUGUUGUGAGAGUUUCACUGUAGUGAAUUUUGGGAGCUUGAACUCACUUGAGUGAGAUAUUAGAGCGUAUUGGGUAUUCGGGUUAUGAGUAAUAGUUAUCCUUCCAAUAUUUGCAAGCUCUCACUUAUUAGUAAAAUCAUCUUCGUAUAUUGACUCUGUUUCUUUGUUGCCAGGAAGAGUGUGAUCUUCAAGGGUUUGAGGAAGUCUUUGCAGUAAAGUUUCCACCACGAGCAAUUGCUACAAAGAGGCAUAUACAUUUGAGUAAUUUGGUUUCAGAUUUACAAGGCGUGUAUAUUUAAUUAGUUUUGAUUAUCAUAUUUAGUCACUCAUUCUGAAACUUUUCUAAUUUUCAAGUUCCUUAGGACCACCACCAGUGUUUCAAGUCUGCAUAUGGCUGCAAAAUAUUGAUGGUCAUAAAAUUAUCUUGAGCCUUGAGGCAUUGCAUUUGAGCACACACAGAAACAGAGCUAAAGGAAAAGAAGACAAUAGAAGAUGCACUAAAUAUAACAAAAGUAUAUUUCUACUUGUGGUUAUUUUAAUUUUGUUUCUCCUGUCAUCAUAUUUGAUUAAUUCGUUUGAAUUCACACUCUCACACAUUAUUUAAAACCAUCUGCAGGUGGCUUGCAAGCUAGUUAAGUUAAUGCAAAAACAAUACUUUAGACAAAGAUGAGCAAGUUGAAGGCAACAAAUGCAAAUUGAAUUUCCAUCAAUAAUUGUCAGGCUGGGGCAGAUAUUCUUAAAAGGGCAUUAAGCUAUCUUAUGAAAUUGGAAAGUUAUCAUUGCUUGAAUGAAAGCACCAUCUUCUGUUGUCAAGGCUUUCCCCACACGAUGAGAUUCUGUGCUUGUUAUCGGCCCCUUAAUUAUUUAUUAAAUCAGGUUUCUGUUAUCAAGUACAUCAUCUUAUUCACCAUUUUAGCUAUAUAUAAAGAUUAAAAUUUCUAACAGUUGUUUCGGAUUCUUGUGUACUCAGGUUAAUAGGGCAAAUGUCAGAAUGAAGAUUGUUCAGUGCAACCGGUAUAGCAAGGAUGAUAGUGGUGAGGAAGAUUGUUGGCAAGCCAAAUAGAGCCCUCCAUUUUGAGAAAUGUCAUCCUCAAAUUUGAAUUGUUGAGCAUGUGAAGUGAAGCUAAAGCCUUAAUAAUUAGACCUUCCUGUAAAAGUUUCAUUUGAGUGAAUUGAACGUUCUUAGUGAUUUUGGUUGUCAGUGAAUGUUUUCCUUUAAUAUUAAUACACUGUCAUUUCUUAGUAAAUUCUCUUCAUAUCACUUCCUCCUUGUCGUUCUUAUGGAAAUACCUUCCUGUUUGACUUGCAAAAUACAUUACAAAAGCUCCCAAACAGUAUAUUUGAACAGAGUUACCCAUUUUGAGAAUUUUGACUCCCAAAUAAGCCUGCAGAGUGGUGUAUGGUCGGAUUAGCUGCAGGAGCAGUGCAAGAUUCUUGUCAAACUAUCUGGCUGGUAAAAAGACUGUUGUCAAACUUCCUUUUUAUUCCUUUGUUUACUUAUUCGUUAUAAAUAAAGUAAAAUUAGAAUAUUGUUCCGUUUACUGUCUAAGCCGGUCUAACAUUUGUUUAAUUUGGGCAAUUUUUAAUGCCUGACAGGUUACUUCAUAUGCGGCACAAUUUUUACAUUAUUUUUAAUGGCAAUUUUUAAUUCAAUAAAGAAAAGUAUUGUGAAGUAAAAAUUGAAAAGUACAAUCCGUCGAUCAUUUGAUACGUAUUUUUCUUCACAGAACCUCAAUUCAAUAGACAAAAGCUCCUCUUAAUUUUUCUUUUCUAUUUAAAUAAAAGAACAAAAGAAAUUGAUUACGGAGCCAUUAAUUUCCAAGAAUUAAUAAAUGAAAAGGCCCAUAAUUUUUGUUAACCCACCCCACUCUCAAGAAAUAAUUACAAUAAGUUCAAAUUAUUUUUUAAAAAUUGAAAUAAAGAAGAUGUAAUUACAAUAAGUUUGGAGAUUGAAUCAAAUAAAAUAAAAAACCUAAACUAUUAUAUACAAGAACUCUUGAUUCUUGGGGUAUUUUAUUCAUUUUAUAUUAUCAUGGUAAAUUAGUCAAAUAAAACUUAUCUUAAAGCAACCUAAAUGGUCAAAGACACCUAAGUUAAAAAAAUAAAAAAUUAUAUGAAUGAUUUAAUUUAUUGAUUGUCUAUACCUUUUAUUGAUUUAUAUAUUUUAAAAAUAGUAUGAACGUAUUACAAUUAUUUUCUGACAUCAAGGUAGAUUUGUAAAAGAAGUGGGUAGAUUUGUAAAAGAAGUGGAUAGAAAAUAUCCCCGUCCUCAAACAAAUAAAUGAAUUAUCGGUGACGCAUGCUUUUUCCCAACUUUUGUUUUUUACAAUUAUGUAUCACAGUUGUGGAGUAGAAUCAGGGAAAUUAAAAAUGCUAAAAUUAUUGACGCGUGGGGUGGACGACAAUAACCAUAAACAUUUUUCGUGUAGUGUAAGAAGAAUGCAACAACUUGUUUCUUUCAGUAUUUUUGCAACAAAAGUACGUUGAACAACUUUUGAAAUUAUUUCUCUUUUUCUUUGCUAGAAUGGAUGUGAUCGCUUCCCCUCUCCCGGAGCAGCUGAACUCCUUUGCUGCUUGUGACUUACCAUAAAUCUUCAAGCCAUUCAAGCUGUGCUUGAAGAUGCAGAGAAGGCAAGUUGAUAUAAGAUGGUUGCAUGGAAUAAGCAGGGUAUCUUCCGAGGUUAGAAAUUGGGCUACGAGUAUUCGUUUUGGACAUAUAAUAGAGUUUCUAAGCUUGCGAUGAGUCGAACCAAAUGCAGAACAACCUAGGCUGUUAUGCCCUGCGAUUAAGCUAAAAAUUUACUUCAUUUAUAGUCGUUUUUCAGUUUUAAGAUAUUUUUUUAUUUUUCUUGAUUCUUCUAGGAUUUUAAAAUAUUAGAUUUAAGUGCCAUCUAUUUUCUUUCUCUUAUUUAGAUUCGAAGAAUUUUAUUAUCAUAUAAUAUUUUGAAUUUGCUUAGUUUGUUAAAUUUGCCUCCUUUUAGGCUUCUAUAAAUGGGAUUCAAAACCCUAAUUUUGUUCAUUUAAAUUAUUCUCAAUAAAACUUAUUAUUCAAAUCCUGGUUUAUAUUAUCUAAUAGCUUUUUAGUGUUUCUGCAUAAUCAGCUGGUAUCAAAGAAAGUUUGCUUGUCAUCAUGGUGCGAUCACACAAUCAAAGGAGCAAACAUCCCGAAGACAAUGUUUAAGGGAUGUAGGCAACGACUGUGGAGGUUAUCAGAUAGAUGGUCAAAGGAGCAAUCUUGCAAGUCAUGCAGGACGCAUAUAACCUGAGAAUGGUAGCAGACAAAUAUUAGGUUAUCUCUUGUAAGCCAUAUUCAUAAAUGUAUUGAGGGAAAGAUAUUUUUUUCUUGUCUUAAAAGAUGUGUGGGAUGGACGUUACAAUUAAUGGGAACCAUUCUUCUGUUGUUUAAAGAAUGGUCUCUACGAUAGUCAAAUUUUGAUUACUGCAAGUAAUCAGUUAGUAGCAAGCAUGAUGAGAUCAACAAAUCUUACCUUUCUUAAGGAAUUAAUUGAAGAAGAAUGUUGGUAAUUGUUUAAGCAGGUAGCAUUUUUUGGUCAAUUCUUCAAGGAUCGUGAUCAGUCGAUCAAAAAAUUGCAUGUAAGUGCAAAGGCUUGCCUUUUGUUGCAAAGAUAAUAGGGAAAUUCUUACACUAUAAAUGACCAAUAGAAGAAUAGAAAAAAAUUUUAGAUAGUGGAAUGUGGAAGGUAGAAGAGUUUGGGAAAGGUCUUUUGACUCCUUUCUUGUUAAGUUAUAAUGAUUUAUCGUCCAUAGUAAAACAAUAUUUCUCACAUUGUGCUAUCUUUUCAAAAGGUUACAAUAUGUGUAAAGAGGAACUAAUUACACCAUGGAUGGCUCAAAGUUACUUUAAAUGUAGAAGAAGGCAUUGUUUAAAGCAUGGUCUCCACGGAAGUAAAAAUUUGGUUUCCACACGUAAUGAGUCAGUUGCACGUAUGAUGGGAUCAAAAAAUAUUAUCUUCAUUGAGCAAUUGACUGAAGAGGAAUGUUGGUUGUUGUUCAAGCAGUUAGCAUUUUCCGGUCGCUCUUUGGAGGAUGGUGAAAAAUUAGAACCAAUCGUGCAAAAAAUUGCACGCAAGUGCAAAGGCCUGCCUCUUGCUGCAAGGUAACAGGGAAUCUAUAGGGUAUGAUAAAUGCAUAUAUAGUGGCCAAGUCACUCAUUACAUUUCAUCUUGUUGAAAAGUCAGAAGCAAAUGCCAACUUUGCAACUGUUAGCAUGAAGGCUUUGAAGAAGCAAAAUCCAAUUCGGUUUUUGUUAGCCGAAAAGAAAGAAUGGAAAAAGGGGAUGUAUUGAAAAUAAUAAUAAUUAUUUAUUAUAUUUUCAAUUAUUUUAUUCUUUGCAUAGUGCCAACAUUUUUCCUAUAAAUAGUUAAGGAUUUCAUUCAUUUGAAAUCAUCCCAAAAUUGUUAAGCUUAGUUUCUAAGCUUUUGAGAGAAGUGAGAGAAGUGUGUCUGGGGAAUGUAUUUUUCCUGCAGAGUGUGAGAGUACUGGGUAUAUUUGGGUUUCUGGGAAGUGAGAUUCGUUACUCAAAUAUUGUAUUCUAUUAAUUGUUUUGUUAAAUAAACAAUUAUUCUUUCUUGCCUCCGUGGAUGUAGGUUUAAUUACCGAACCACGUAAAUUCUUGUGUCCUUUAUUUUUCAGUAAUUAUUUGGUGCGCUUGAUUCCGCAUUCCGCGCGCACAACAAGUGGUAUCAGAGCCGAAGGUUCGUACUUAGGGGGGAUACGGUACUGUUCAUGUAUACGGUAUUAUAUCCGUAUAUAGUACUAUUCACGUAUAUGGUAUUCUUCACGUAUACGGUACUAUUCACGUAUAUGGUACUGUUCACAGAGGUACUAUUCACGAAUACGGUGGAGACGGCCAUUUGUACUUGGGAGACAGUCUAUUGUAAGUAGUGUGUAUUUUUGCAUGUCUAGGAAAGUUCUGUCAAAAAGGCGAUAAGAGUCUAAGGAUUCUGGUUUUUAAUUGGGACCGGGUUCCCGUCCAGUUUCCUGGGAACUUUCCUGGUGCAUUUAUUCACGCGAAAUUAACAUCAUAGAGGCUGUUUUUCAAGUGGAAAUAGUUCAUUGAGAAAAAUGGUAGAAGGUGAAACUUCCAGAAUUGGGGAGAGAUCUACCGAGACUAUUUCAGGAGACACUUCAGGUGGGAGGCGAGAUUUGUCAAAUCGCUAUUCAGCACCUGUUAUGGGAGGCCAGAAGAUCGAUGUUGAAAAAUUUGAUGGGAAAAUCAACUUCGGCAUGUGGAGGCGCGAAGUUAUGGAUGCCCUUAUUCAAAUCGAUCUUGAUGUUGUUCUGAAAAAUAAAAGACACUUGUAUGAUGAAGAAAUUUGGGAUCGUAUGAAUGAAAAAGCCUGUGGUCAGAUCAGAUCUUGUUUGACCAAGGAGGUGAAAUACUUGGUGAAAGAUGAGGAGUGUGCGAUGACUUUAUGGCUUACAUUGGAGGAGAAGUACCUGGUGAAAAGUCCUGAAAAUCGCCUUCAUGCAAUGAGCCAAGUAUAUGGUUUUCGAAUGAAGCAUGGGGUGUCAAUGCACGAUUAUGUGUCAAGAUUUGAAAAGUUACUUGCUGAUUUGAAGAAUCUUGAUGAAGAUAUUAAAGAUGAAGUCAAGGCUAUGAUUCUGUUACACUCACUACCAGAGGAAUAUAGCCAGUUUGUGACUACUUUGAUAUAUGGGAAGAGUGUGAUCGUCUUCAAAGACGUUUGCACAACAUUGACUAGUUUGGAGAUUCGGAAUAAUGAUAAAAAUUCUGAACGAGCAUCGUCUGAAGCUUUGGUGAGCAGAGAUUGGGCGAUGGAGAAAAAGAAGAAGCGUGGUGGAAAGAAUUCUCGAUCCAAAUCGAGAAGCAGAAAUCUAGCUCGUGAUGAGUGUGCCUUUUGUCAUGAAAAGGGCCAUUAGAGGAAAGAUUGUCCAAAGGCUAAAAAGAGAGAUGGGAAGAAACCAGCAGCAGCAAACAUGGCACGGAAAGAUGAGGAUUCUGAUUAUUCACUAAGUAUCACUCCUGCAGCAUGUGUGGCUAAUUCGAGCGAGUGGAUACUUGAUACUGGAGCAACCUAUCAUUUGUGUCCUAUUAAGGAAUGGUUUGCAGAUUUUCGUAAUCUAGAAUCCGGUGCAGUUGUGAUGGGGAAUGAUAAACCUUGUCGCACAAUGGGGAUAGGAACAAUUCGGCUCAAAAUGUUUGAUGGAAUGGUCAGGGAACUCAAAGAGGUUAGAUUUGUUCCAGAGAUAAAGAAAAAUCUAAUUUCUGUGGGUGCUUUGGAAGAUAAAGGCUACAAGGUUACCAUUGAAGAUGGUACAAUAAAGUUUACACAUAGAGUUAUGGUGAUUCUGCAAGGGGUUCGGCGUCACAAUCUGUACUAUUUGAAGGGAGGUACACCUGAUGAAGCAAAUGUUGUUGAGGCGCACAGUGACACCACCAAGCUAUGGCAUGUACGACUGAGACAUGCAGGAGAGAAGUCUUUGCAAAAUCUGAUGAGGCAUGGACUCUUAAAAGGUACCAAAACCUGUAAAUUAAAUUUCUGUGAGCAUUGUGUAGUAGGCAAGAAAACAAGGGUCAAGUUUGGUACAGCUAAUCACGAAACUCGUGAGAUCCUUGAAUAUGUUCAUAGUGAUGUAUGGGGACCAACCAAGACUGCAUCAAUUGGUGGAAGCCAUUAUUUUGUUAUAUUUGUUGAUGAUUUCUCUAGAUGUGUAUGGGUGUACACCAUGCGAGCAAAGGAUGAGGUUCUAGAGAUUUUCGUGAAAUGGAAGAAAUUGGUGGAGACUCAAACUGGCAAAAAGAUCAAAGUAUUACGAUCUGAUAAUGGGGGUGAAUAUACUUCUGAUCCAUUCUUGCAAGUAUGCCAGAACGAGGGUAUUAAAAGACAUUUCACGGUGAGACAUACUCUGCAACAGAACGGUGUGGCUGAGCGUAUGAAUCGUACUUUACUGAAGAAGGUACGGUGUAUGUUAUCUAAUGCUGGUUUAGAUAAAAAGUUUUGGGCUGAAGCUGUGAGCUACGCAAGUCACUUGGUAAACCGAUUGCCUUCUGCUGCAAUUGGAGGUAAAACUUCUAUGGAAAUGUGGUCUGGAAAGCAUGCACAAGACUAUGAUUCCCUUCGUAUAUUCGGGUGUCCAGCUUAUUAUCAUGUCAAAGAUGGUAAACUGGAUCCUCGUGCAAGAAAAGCUAUCUUUGUGGGAUUCAAAGGUGGAGUAAAGGGCUUCAAGCUUUGGGAUCUCGAAGACAAAAAGUUUGUGUGUAGUAGAGAUGUCACAUUUGAUGAAGCUUUAAUGAUAAAAGCUUCAAGUUCUCAGCAGGUGGAGAACAAGACCACAGAGGUAUUGCAGCGGGUGGAGUUUGAUGCAACUCCAUAUGUACUAGUUAGUUCUACAUCAAAGAAUAGUUCAACUAUGGAGGUGACACCUAGAGUUAAAGAAGAGGUUGUUUCUUCUGAUGUCCCACAAAAUGAAGAAACAAUUGAUGAUGAUUUUAUAGCAACAAGGAGGCCAAGAAGAGAGAUAAAGAAACCCGGAUGGCUUACUAAAGAUAUGGUGGUAGCCUAUGCACUUCCAGUUAUUGAUGAUGACAUCCCCAACACUUUCGGUGAAGCAUUACGCAGCAGUGAAAGUGAUCAGUGGAAGCUAGCCAUGGAGGAAGAGAUGAAAUCUCUCCAUCAAAAUCAGACUUGGGAACUUGUAAAGUUACCAAAGCGGAAAAGGGCUAUUGGCAAUAAAUGAGUCUACACCAAAAAGCAAGGAUCUCCGAAUCAAACAACUCCUCGAUAUAAGGCAAGGCUCGUGGCAAAAGGUUUUGCUCAAAAGGAAGGUAUUGACUACAAUGAAGUUUUCUCUCCAGUUGUAAAACAUACUUCCAUUCGUAUCCUACUUGCCUUAGUUGUAGAAUAUGAGUUAGAGUUGGCUCAGUUGGAUGUGAAGACGGCGUUCUUACAUGGAGAUUUGGAGGAGGAAAUCUAUAUGAUUCAGCCUUGUGGUUUCAAAGUUGCUGGAAAAGGAAAAUCGUGUUUACCGAUUGAGUAAAUCUUUAUACGGAUUAGUAUGAACUACGGUUGGCUUGAUCCCAAACUUUGGGUACGUAGGCAGUCGGAUAGAUGCAGCCAAUGUGGAUCCUUUUGAGGAUCAUGUGGGGGAUGUUUGGAACUACGGUAGGCUUGAUCCCAACCUUGGGGUACGUAGGCAGUCGGAUAGAUGCCAGCCAAUGUGGAUCCUUUUGAGGAUCAUGUGAGGGUUCGUUGGUAGUCGGCUCAGAUUUGGCUAAAUCUUCGCCGAGGUGGAGAAUUGUUGAAAAGUCAGAAGCAAAUGCCAACUUUGCAACUGUUAGCAUGAAGGCUUUGAAGAAGCAAAAUCCAAUUCGGUUUUUGUUAGCCGAAAAGAAAGAAUGGAAAAAGGGGAUGUAUUGAAAAUAAUAAUAAUUAUUUAUUAUAUUUUCAAUUAUUUUAUUCUUUGCAUAGUGCCAACAUUUUCCCUAUAAAUAGUUAAGGAUUUCAUUCAUUUGAAAUCAUCCCAAAAUUGUUAAGCUUAUAAGUUUCUAAGCUUUUGAGAGAAGUGAGAGAAGGGUGUUUGGGGAAUGUAUUUUUCCUGCAGAGUGUGAGAGUACUGGGUAUAUUUGGAUUUUUGGAAAGUGAGAUUCGUUACUCAAAUAUUGUAUUCUAUUAAUUGUUAAAUAAACAAUUAUUCUUUCUUGCCUCCGUGGAUGUAGGUUUAAAUUACCGAACCACGUAAAAUUCUUGUGUCCUUUAUUUUUCAGUAAUUAUUUGGUGCGCUUGAUUCCGCAUUCCGCGCGCACAACACAUCUCUCAUAUGAACAUGAUUCUGAAUUUGAAUUUCCAUGAAUAAUUGUUGGGCUGGUGCAGAUAUUCUUAAAAGGGCAUUAAAGCUACCUCAUGAAAUUGGAAGUUAUCAUUGUUGAAUGAAAGCACCAUCUUCUGUUUNNNNNNNNNNNNNNNNNNNNNNNNNNNNNNNNNNNNNNNNNNNNNNNNNNNNNNNNNNNNNNNNNNNNNNNNNNNNNNNNNNNNNNNNNNNNNNNNNNNNNNNNNNNNNNNNNNNNNNNNNNNNNNNNNNNNNNNNNNNNNNNNNNNNNNNNNNNNNNNNNNNNNNNNNNNNNNNNNNNNNNNNNNNNNNNNNNNNNNNNNNNNNNNNNNNNNNNNNNNNNNNNNNNNNNNNNNNNNNNNNNNNNNCCAAAUAGAGCCCUCCAUUUUGUAAAAUAACAUCCUCAAAUUUGAAUUGUUGAGCACAUGAAGUGAUGAUAAAGCCUUGAUAAUAAGACCUUCCAAUGAAAGUUUCAUUUGAGUGAAUUAUGGGAGAAUGAAAGUUCUUGGAAUGAGUGAGAAAUUAAGCAUAUAUCAGCGAUUUGGGUUGUCAGUGAAUGUUUUUCUUUAACAUUAGUACACUCUUAUUUCUUAGUAAAAUUCUCUUCACGUCUUUGACUGUGACGUAGACCAAAAGCUAAACAAUGUAAAAUUAUAUUGUUAUUUCCUUAUGCUUGUUUUGCUAUAUAUCAUUUCUGUGCAAUCAAGAAUGUAAUUUUGUAAUUAUUCAACUCUGCUUCCGCGAACAUGCGGUAUCUUGCAGAUUUUUUUUCUCCCUUUUUCUUUCUGCGUUAAAACUGCAACAAAUGGAAGUGACUGGCUUGAUUUUAGCUCCUGUAAAAAAGUGCCUGGGGCAAUGUCUUUUGUAUCAGCAAGUUAUCAAACAUCAUAGUUUAAAUAUAGAAUCCUGAGUUGCUAUCGAAAAUUCCAGGUCUUUCACCUCUCAGUUUCUUAAAAGCUACAAAGCUUGAUAGAUAUUGACAAAGCAAACCGUCUGCGGGCUGAAAUGCUUCCACGGAUCAGGAAGGAAUUUGGUGUUGACACUAUAUGUUAUGCGGAUAACUACAGUUGAUAGUUUUGACCCAAAAUAUGUCACAGUUGACAAUUGACUUACAGUGUUUCCUUGUGUUACCAGGCUCUCAUGUGUGAAUUGAAAGAUUAAGAAAGAUUAAUUCUUACUGACUUAUGCAAUUGAAGAUUAUGAAAAAGCAUUUGCACUAAAGUUCCCAGCUUGUUUAAUUGCUGUGAAGAGGCACAUUCAUUCUGAGUACUUGAGUUUCAGAUUUCCAAGAUGUGUAAUUUUAGUUGCCAUUGAAGUAUUUAGUCGCUCAUUCUUAAAAAUCUGUUCCAAUUUUCCUGUUAUUUUGGGCCAUAAACAGUUUAACAAGUCUGCAUGUGGUUUCUAAAGAUUGAUGGUUAUGAUAAAUAUUGUGAGGUAUGAAAUAUUAAAUUGCUAUAAAUAUGUGUACAAAUUUUUCCUAUUACAUUGGGAAUGAAAUUGUAACUUGCGGGUCAAAAGAAAUCCUAAUUUGCUUUAGGUAAGAAAUCUUAAUUUGCUUAAGUGUCUGCAUUUGUGUACAAAGGAAAAAUAAGAAAUUCUGCUACAUGGGGACCGAAAAUUUAAUUGGCAGGGUCUUCAUCAAAUGUUUGUUAUCAAUACUGAUCCCGGAAUGUAUGGAACACCGUGAAAAGUUUUUCAUAGUUUCGUGAAGAAGGCUGAUUUAUCUGAUUCAUAGAUUUGUUAAAAGCGCAUCGGGCGGGGGACAAAAGAAGUGUUGAAAUUGAAAAGGUUAAUGGUUGAAGCAUGCAGUGUUGCAAUUAAGUUAUUAUUGUCUUGAAAUAACAGGAGAUGAUAAGAUGCUGCUUAAAGCAUGCAGUUUCUGUUACAAUUGUAUUGGCCUGGGUUUAGGGAACUGUCAGAACUUUCAGAAGAAGAUGGAGUUUCUCAAACCAAAUCUAAGAAGAUAUCUCACAUUCCCCACAUGGUCUCAACGCACAGGUAAGUUUCUUCUCGAGCUCUGUUUUUCAUUGUUCGUUAUUUUUAAUGUAAAUAAGGAGCAGAGUUAAUCUCUUAUCUUGACUUUGCUUUGAGAAAACUACUAUUAUAUCUAUUUUUAAUUCACAUGUCCACAGUAAUUUCAUUCUAGUUUGAGCUGAGUGAUAACUGUUCAAGGCUCACUUACUCAUUGGGAGAAGCUCCAUGAUGCAGGCUGCUAGGAUUAGCUUGUACAAUUGCUGUGAAGAGGUACGUUUGGUUGCGAUCAAAAUUAUUAGUCUCUUGUUCUUAAUGUUUUCUGAUUUUCCAGUUCUUUAGGGGCCAUAAACAGUUUUCCAAGUACUGCAUGUGGCGGCAAAAGAUUGAUGGUGAUAAUUCUAUCUUGUGGCAUGUGUGUUGCAUUUGAGCACACGCAGAAACAGAGCUCAAGGGAAAGAAAUUGGAAGAUGCUCUAAAUAUAACAAAAGUAUAUCUCUACUUGCGGUCAAUUUAUAUUUGUUUCUUGUGUCAUUAUGCAGAUUAAUUUAUUCGAAUUUAUCCUAUCUCAUUCAUUUAUUUUGGACAUAAGUUCGAAAAAAAAAAAUUUUAAGCAUACAGUUUCCAAUGGAUUUGAUAGAGUGGUCACAUGGCAUUUUGAUGUUGUUGGAGUAGCACUGUUCUUAAGCACGGCUUUGAGGUAUCUCCCUCUCUCUUUUACGUAUUUGUUUAUCGAUCUACAUCUCUAUAUGCAUUGAUAGACUAUUCUUGCCGUACAAAAUUACUCUUGUUUUAGUGUUUUGUUUGUUGAACUUUGACUGGGGAAUCUGUCUCUUUGUCUGAUAUGAUGUUAGUGUAUUGAAGUGUGUUAGAUCUAUCACCGAGUAUUAUUUCAAUUUUUCUUUACUUAAUCAACUUGCAUCCUUUCCAAGUCCAGAUCCUUAACAAUAGUGAGACUUCGCUACAGAAGCACAAUUUCUCUUGUUUUACAGUUAAAUAUGCAAGAAUGGUUUUAAAUUAACAGAACGCUUGAGAUAGUUCUCUGAGGAAAUGCAAGUGGUGAACAUGGUUCCAACUUUUAAGAGCCUUAAUAUACCCAUUUGUUCAGCGCUGUGUGUAAACAAUCAGUAUUGCGGUUUACAUUCUUCUUUACUGCCUAUAUGUCUUGGACUUUGUCUCAAAUGGAUUCCAUGCGGGGUUUUGAAUGUCCAAUUAGGAGAAAAAUCAAGGCUUGCUUGGCCAGGAGUGGAAGCGGAUCCGCUACUUCAGUCAGAUGAACUUUUGAAGAAGGCUUACAACAGGCCAUCUCGGGAUGUCAAUGGCUCAACUCAAAAGUCAUUGAUGUCAAAGAAUGCCAUUGUCUCCGGGCUUGGGCUCCUUGGCAUCAAACAAGGGAAUGUCGACUCUGUUGAAGGGGAAACAAGGGCUCCUAAAGUGCGAAGACAGAGGAUAGUCCGGAAGAAUUAAGGUGACCGCAUAAAUUUCUUGGAGUUAAUCUUGUCAAUUGCCCAAUUUUGCUGCCUGCCGAACAGAUACAACGCGGAAGUCCUCAUCAAACCUUUGAGACAUCCAAGAACUAGUAGGAGGAGGUGGUAUUCACCCUGUUUCCUGGCAAGUAUAGUUCACUACUUCACUGAUAGAGGGAUUCUUUUCUUGAUUUCUAAAUACCAUAUGUGAUACAACGUGGUAUAUUCCAAUUUUUCUCCAGUUAAAUUCUAGUAAGUUAAAAAAGUUAAUUUUGUUUUUGCGACGAAUUGUUCUCUUAAUAAUAAUAAUUGCAUGUUGCUUUGGAAUCUUAUUCACUCUCAGUAACCCAAUUAAAUUUUGCAAAAUUUACUGCAGAUUUGUCAAACAGUGUCUUUGUGAUGACACUUUUGAUCGCAAAUUUCAAUUUGAAGUAUCAUGUAACACCAAAAAACCAUAACUUGUAAUUACUUGAUCAUACUUGACUUCCUAUUUAGGUUCUGUUUGGAAUUGAAGUGUUGUAGCUACAACUAUCUUGUGGAAAAAAAAAAGUUAGAAUUAUGAAACAAAAGUUAAUAAUAUGUAGUAAAUAUAAAUUUUAAAUAAUUAUUUUGAUAAAAUUAUUAAAGAUAUAAUAGAUUUUCCAUCAUAUAAGUGAAAAAUUAGAUCAACAUAACUUCUAAAUUAUAGCAAUUAGUGUUUACCAAAUACUUUAGUACUGUAACUUUUAAGUUACAGUUGUACAAUUUCAAUUCCAAACACGCCCUUAGUACUACUGUGUUGUAGUUAUAGUUAUUGUGAAAAAAGAACUAAAACUAUAAUAUAAAUGUUGAUCGUGUGUCAUAUAUAUGAUUUUUAAAUAAUAAUUUUGACAAAAUUAAUAAAUAUAUUAUUGAUUCUUUUAUACUCCCGGUUUAAUUUUUAAGUCACAAUAUUAAAUAUUUAUUAAAUAUUUUGAUACUGUAACUUAAAAACUAUGCUCUACGACACUCUUAUCUAAUUUUAUUUGUACUUUCUAGCUCGAUUAUACAAAUCCUUACUUGAUGUACUUGACCAUACAAGAUGUUACUUAACUUCACUUAAUCUUACUCGACUUUAAUUGUAUAUUUUAUACCGAAAUUUUUGUCAAAAAAAAUUGGUCCCAAUUCCAUGCUCCUUCGGGGAUCCCAGCAAAACAGUAACUUCCAUUCAAAAGGGUUCCAUGUUGAGUGCAUGUAAUCUACACAAGUUUGAGAAGAAAUAACCAAAAUAAAUAAAUAAAAGAAACCCACGUCCAAAGAUGCCGUUGAAAGUUGAAACAAAAAUUUAUUAUUGAUACGAGAAAAGAGUUUAUUAUUUUCUUAACAAAAAUUUAAGCUAAGACAAAAAUAAUGCCCAAAACACCCUUCUCAUGAUCCCAAACUUUCUAAACUCCCCCAUUCCUCUGAGCAUCAUCUCUCCCAAAUCUUUCUUCCCCCACAACCAGCCAUGGCUUCAAAUUCAAUUAGCUCAACACUCCAAUGUUGCUUGUAAGCCACCCACAAAUCCUCAACUUCACAUGGACUCAAAACCAAACCCUAGCUUCCUUCCCACACAUCCUCAUUAUCUUCAUCGUUACUUACCUCCCUCACAUCCAUCCUCUGCCACACAUCAACAUCAACAUCAACAUCACCAUCAUCAUCACCUCUCAUUGGACCCCACAUUCUCAGAUCCAUCACAGCCAUCCAUAAUCUCACCCUCCUCCUCUUCUCCCUCAUCAUGGCCGCUGGUUGCACCCUCUCGAUCAUCCUCCACUCACCUCACCUCCACUACUUCCCCUGUUUCCCCCCUACCAUUUCUCCCUCCGGCCCCCUCUGCUUCUACGCUUACGUUUUUAACUCUAAAAAAUACUCGAAUUCCCAGACACCCUUUUGAUCAUUUUGUCAAACUCCAUCCAACGGCUCACGUUCCUCCACGUCUACCACCAUGCAACCGUCGUUGUAAUGUGCUACAUUUGGUUACAGACGAAGCGGUCUUUGCUUCCUAUUGCGCUUGUUACCAGUGCAAGUGUGCAUGUGAUCAUGUACGGGUACUAUCUAUUGUGUGUUCUGGGGUUGCGGCAGAUUGGUCACUGAUUGUCAGAUUGUUUAGUUUUGCUGUUUUGGUACUGAUGCUGAAUUAUCAUUUCACGGGAUUUGGUUUCCCUGGGAUUUGGGGUUGGUGCUUCAAUGCUGUGAUUAAUGCCUCCCUUUUGGCCCUUUUUGUUAAUUUUCAUUACAAGAGCAUAGAAGUAAAUAAUUGAAUUAACUAUUAUUAUCUACAUUAAUGUGAUGGAACACAAGCCACAUCAACUAGAAUUAGAUUAUGAAUUUUAGCAGCCCCAGCAAAAAACAUUUAUGAAAGANNNNNNNNNNNNNNNNNNNNNNNNNNNNNNNNNNNNNNNNNNNNNNNNNNNNNNNNNNNNNNNNNNNNNNNNNNNNNNNNNNNNNNNNNNNNNNNNNNNNNNNNNNNNNNNNNNNNNNNNNNNNNNNNNNNNNNNNNNNNNNNNNNNNNNNNNNNNNNAUGGGCCUAAGUCUUUGAUUUUUUAUUUUGUUAAUUUUUUUUUAUUUUUUACUUGCAAUAGUAACUUCAAUUAUGAAUCAAAGUCGCCAAAUCAAAAUCGCUGCAGCCUGUAGCUACAAGCAAAAUUCUCAAUUAUUGAUCAGAAAGCUAGCCCCAGACGGUGACUCCUGUGGGGACUCCUUUAAUUUGCAGCACAAAACAACGUUCACAUUGACAUUGACUUGAGGGUAAAAAUUAAAUAUCUCCUAUUAGUAUAAGAAGAAUGCAAACAUGCUUGAAUCAACAUUCUCACAGAAUCACUAAAUUCUCAAAUUUUGAAAUACCUAACAAUUACAUACUAGCUAUAAAUAAAUAAAUAAAAAAUUGUCUAAAAUUAAUUCCCAGCUAACACUUGAAAUUUGAAUUUGGGCCUCAUGAAGAUUUACCCCGAGCUCUACCCCUGGAUAUGGAACAAAAUAUUAUUAGUUUUGCUAGUGAAAUUGCCAAUUAUGUUUUUGUUUUGUAUUUUCCGCUUAGGGAAGAAGAAAUUUCCUACAAAUUUUGUGGUGAAUAUCUUGUGAAUAUAUGACAGUUUAAUCUUUAGUCACCACUUGUUUAAAAUAAAAAAGAGAAAAGGAUAUCUAUAUCCCCAUGGUUUGGAGAAAUAGUCACCAACACCCCAAGUUUUCUAAAAAUGACAUCAAGACUCUCUUUUGACCAUAAUACUCUUUACCUUUAGUAUCCCGAAAAAUUUAACUUGCAAAUUUUUAGUAAACACAAAUAUUAUAUAAAUAAUGUAAUCUAUGUAGUAGAUUAAUAAUAUUAAAAUAAAUUUAAAUAUGUAAAUUAUUAUAUUUAUUUUAAUAAUAUAUUUGUAUUUAUUGUAGAGAUUUUAAAUAAAUAUUUGCAUUAAAUACAUUUUACAAUUAAAAAAGUCUCACAUACUAAUAAUAUUAAAAUUAUUAUUUUUCAUAAUAAUUUAAAUUUUAAUACAUUUAUUUUAAUAUUAUAUUUCUAUUUAUUAUAAAAAAAAUUAAAGUUAACUUUUGGGAUAAUAAAAGUAAAGGGUAUUGUAGUAAAAAAUGAGUUUUAGUGUCUCUUUUUGAAAACUUAGGACUUGGAAGCGUUGGUAACUAUUUUUCCAAAAUUUGGAGAUAUAGAUAUCCUUUUCCUAACAAAAAAUGACAUUUUUGAUAGGAGAUAUAAUAAGUUUUGUUCCUUAAAAAAAUCCAUCAGAUAUAUUAUGCCCCCGGUUGCUAUUGUUAAAAACAAGUAAUUCUUCUUUUUGUAUAUUAAAAUAGUAAAAGGGUGGAUAAUAUUUAAAAUAUUUUUUUAACCUUUUAUCUUUUUUGACAUUCGAAUUUUAAACUCGAGAAGUCAACCAAAUAGACUUCUUGAGAGGUUAACUAAAUUCUUAGUAAUUUAAUAUAAUAUCAUAACCGUUCUUCAAAAGCAAUUUUAUAAAUCAUUGUGGAAAAAUUUUAUUCCUUAGUUAUCUUUCGCAUAUUUUAAUUCUUUGUAAUAUGAGGUAAGUCCGUAGACAAUAGUAUGAUAUUUAUUAAAAUCAUUAUGGGACAGAUUUUAUUCUUUUUUUUUUUCUCAACAAAGUAUCCGACUGUAGAUAUAAUAAAUUACUAAUUAAAAUUAUUCGAGUCACACUCUAAAUUAGAUUUUAAAGUUUGUCAUGACAUAAUAAAGUUACAUUCUCAAAUGACCAAAUCAAUUAAUGAGAUAAUGGCUUUUGCUUUUGCCUACCUGACAAAAAGAUGUUGUCGGCCAAGUUGAAAAAUAUAGUAAAUAAAUUUCACUUGCACGUUCCAGAUCGAUCACAUACAAAUUUGUACUGAAAUUCAUAAUGGAUUAAUAUGAUUGGGCGAAAUUACUCCAUAUAAUUUCAUCAAUACCUAUUAAACGAUAAAAAAUUUAUUAAUAUUUAUAAUUAAAAAAAUCUAUCCACUAAGACUAUUCUAGAUCAACAAUUAAUAUAUUAUAUAUAACUUCAAAAGGUUCAUCGGUGGAUUGAUUUAAGCCCUUUGUUGUAGUUUAUAAAUAUUUUGUUGCUUAUAAUGUAAGAAAUUUUAUAGGAGCUGAUGCUGAGUAGUCUGAAUAAGAAAAUUAAUUAUAUUUAUAAGUUAUUGGGUAUCCAUAAUAAAAUAAACAAAUAAAAAAUGAAUAAAAAUUUAAAUACUUAAUUAAUUUUUAUCAAAUUCUUAUCAAAUAUUUAAAAAAGUAUAUAAAAUCAAUUAAUUGAUGGUAUUAUUAAUUUUCAUGAUGAUUUUUAAUAUUAUAUUAGUGAUUAUUAAAUUUAAUACAAUCAAUAAUGCAAGAAAUGAUUAAAUGGUCAAUUUUAUUGACAAAUUAUCAAAUAUGCAAAGUAAUGAAAAAUUAAUCUCAAGAGUUAGUAGAAGUAAAGUUCCAAUUUAAUCAGAUGAUAGAUAAUAAAGUUCCACUACUGUGUGAUAUCGAUGAAGUCGCAAAAUUAGUCUAAUUCCAUACUUAAUCCUAGUAUCCGAACAUGGCCUGAUAAAAUAGUUUAGGUAAUAUACUUCUAUGACUCACAAUUUAAAUAAAUUUGAGAAUUUAUAUAAGGGAUGGAAAAUUCACAAUAAUCAUAACAUGUGCUAUCUUUUCUUCCUUUUCUUAAUUAAACACGAUGAAGUCGCAUGAAGUCGAUGAAGUCAAUAACCACUGCUGUGUGAUAUCGAUGAAGUCGCAUUCGCCUACCUAAUAUUGCGCAAUUAGAUAGAAAAAACGGUCGGCUGCAUGAUUUUUCCAACUUUUGUCUUAUUUUUCUCUUUUCCACGACAAAUUAAUUUGAGAAUGUUACAUUUUCCAAUUCUCUUUUUGUCGUGACCUAAUAGACUAAAACGGAAUCACAUACUUUUUCAAAUGACCAAAUGGCUUUGGCCUACCUGAUAAUAAAAGGAAUGGAUCCAUACGUUAGUAUGGAUAAAUUGAAAAAUAUAAUAAAUAAAUUGUCAGGAGACGAUUUUAUCAAAAAUUUCACUCGCACGGUCCCGACCAAAUACAAAUUUGUGAUGAUAUUCAUAAUGAAUUACUCUAUACAGUUUCAUCGAUAUAUAUUAUACCAUUAAAAAUAUACUACUAUUUAUAAUAAAAAAAAAUUAUGACUAUUCUAAAUCGACUGUAUUAUAUGUGAAUUCACAAGAUUCAUAGAUAGAUUGCACUGAGCUUUUUGUUGCAGUUUACAAAUAUUUUGUUACUAAUUAUCUUAGGAGCGGCAAGUAACUAAAUACAAAUGUAAGAAAUUUUACAAGUUGCUGAUGCUGUGUACUCCGCAGAAAGCUAGCCCCAGACGGUGACUCCUGUGGGGACUCCUUCAAUUUGCAUCACAAAAGAACGUUCACAUUGACAUUGACUUGAGGGUAAAAAUUAAAUAACUCCUAUGGUACGUAUAAGAAGAAUGCAAACAUGUUUUUUUUUUUUUUUUGAUUACAUGAGACUAUUGCUCAAAUUACAGUUCAAAUUACAACUCAUAUUACAUGAGAGUAUAAUUGAUAUGUACAAUCAUAUAUUUAUACUGAGCCCUAUUGAUAUGAAUACUGAUAUGACAUCGCUCAGAUUUUUAACCCUCUCAAAUAUUCGAGGGAUGUCAAACUCCCAUCCUGGGAGAAAGACUGUCUUCACUCGAGCUCAAGGGCUCCAAGAAAGAAUAUUUAAAUUAAACCCCUACAAUGCGACUGCGGAGGCUCGAACCCCUUCCCUCACAUUUGUGAGGGAGGGGCUCUAGCCACUUGGGCUAAGCCCAAGUGGUUAGAAUGCAAACAUGCUUGAAUGAACAUUCUCACAGAAUACAUAAAACCUACUUUCCUCUGAGCAUUUUAGCAGCAAGAAAAGCAAUUGCAGCAUUUACCAUUUGAUCUAAUAUCAGAAUGGCUCAUGCGAUCGUUUCCUCUCUCCUGGACCAGCUGAAAUCCAUUGCUCAAGAUCAGGUGAAAGAAAAGUGGAGGCUUGUCACGGGUGUCGAACAUGAAGUGGGAAAGCUUACCACCAAUCUUCAAGCCAUUCAAGCUGUGCUGGAAGAUGCAGAGCAGAGGCAAAUGAAGCAGGACAAAGCUGUUACUUUUUGGCUGGAUCAGCUCAGAGACGCAUCCUACGACAUGGAAGAUGUGUUGGAAGAGUGGAUCACUGAAACACGGAAAUUGCAGCUUGAUGAGGGAGGCGAUGAUGAUGAUGAUGAUGAUAACGACAGUGCUUUUGUUACUUUUUUGACGAAGGUAUGUUCCUUCUUUCCUGCUGCCUCAAACUGCUUUGGUGGUUUCAAACAACUCAGUCUUCGUCAUCAUAUUGCUGUCAAGAUUAGAGAAAUCAGUAAAAGGCUAGAUGAAAUUGCCACUCGAAAAGAUAGGUUUAAUUUUGUUGAGAAUGUGAGUAACAAUGUUAGGAAUCCAGAGCGAGUGCGAACCAUCUCCUUGAUUGAUGAGGGAGAGGUUUGCGGUAGAGUUGAGGAGAAAAAUGAGCUCUUAAGCAAGUUGUUGUGUGAAAGUAGUGAACAACAAAAAGGCCUUCAUGUCAUUUCACUAGUUGGGUUGGGGGGUAUAGGUAAAACCACUCUUGCACAAUUGGCGUAUAAUAAUGAUGAGGUGAAAAGAAAUUUUGGCAAAGUUAUAUGGGUGUGUGUAUCAUACACUUUUGAGGAGAUUAGGGUCGCCAAAGCAAUCAUUGAAGGUCUAGGCGUGUCAGCUUCUGGUUUAAGCGAAUUCGAAUCUCUUAUGAAACAGAUUCAGAAAUAUAUUACGGGGAAGAAAUUUUUUCUUGUUUUAGAUGAUGUGUGGGAUGGAGAUUACAAAAAAUGGGACCCAUUCUUUUCUUGUCUAAAGAAUGGCCACCAUGAAAGUAAAAUUCUAAUUACCACACGUGAUAGGUCAGUUGCACUGCAGUUGGGAUCAAUAGAUAUUAUCCCUGUCAAGGAGUUGGGUGAAGGGGAAUGUUGGUUACUGUUUAAGCAGAUAGCAUUUCUACGUAGGUCCUUUGAGGAUUGUGAAAAAUUAGAACCAAUCGGGCGAAAAAUUGCAUGUAAGUGCAAAGGCCUGCCUCUUGCUGCAAAGGUAAUAGGGAAUCUCUUGCGCUCUAAAAGUACAGUAAAAGAGUGGCAAAGAAUUUUAGAGAGUGAAAUGUGGAAAGUAGAAGAGAUUGGGCAAGGUAUUUUGGCUCCUUUGUUGUUGAGUUAUAACGAUUUACCCUCCAAUUCUAUGGUAAAACGGUGCUUCUCAUAUUGUGCUGUCUUUCCAAAAGACUACAAUAUGAAGAAAAGGGAAUUGAUUAGUCUAUGGAUGGCUCAAGGUUACCUUAAUGCAGAUGAAGAUGAAGAAAUGGAGAUGAUUGGAGAAGAGUAUUUCAACAUCUUAGCAACACGCUCUUUCUUUCAAGAGUUUGAAAAAUAUUAUGACAAUGAUGAUAUUAUGAGUUGCAAGAUGCAUGACAUAGUACAUGAUUUUGCUCAAUUUGUAAGUAGCAAAGAAUGUUUGUGGCUAGAAAUUAAUGGUACCAAGGAAUCAGUCAUAAACUCUUUUGGUGACAAAGUCCGUCACUUAGGGUUAAAUUUUCAAGGAGGCACUUCAUUUCCUAUGUCCAUUCAUGGACUUAAUAGAUUGCAUACCCUAUUAAUUUAUGACCAAAGUCCUGUCAAUUCGUCUCUUAACAGUAGCAUCCUUCGGGAGUUAUUUAGUAAAUUGGCAUGUUUAAAGGCAUUAGUUAUAAGCCAAUAUAACACUUUAGGUUUGCAUCCUGAGACAGAAAGGAUUAGAGAAAUUCCAGAAAAUGUUGGAAAAUUGAUACAUUUAAAAUAUCUUAAUUUGUCUGAAUUAGUCAUAGAGAGACUACCUGAGACUUUGUGUGAAUUAUAUAAUUUACAAAAGCUAGAUAUUAGGCUGUGCCGAAAUCUUAGAGAAUUGCCAGAGGGGAUUGGGAAGUUAAUGAACAUGAGGAGUUUACUGAAUGCUGAAACUCGUUCGUUGAAGUACAUGCCAAUAGGGAUUUCCAAAUUAACCAGUCUUCGAACAUUAGAAAAGUUUGUUGUGGGUGGAGAUGUUGAUGGUGGCAGCACGUGUAGGCUUGAAUCUCUGAAAAAUCUUCAACUCCGUGGUAAAUGUAGUGUACAAGGGCUGAGUAAUGUAUCGCAUGUAGAUGAGGCUGAGAGGUUACAACUUUACAAUAAGAAAAACCUCCUUCGUUUGCAUCUUGAGUUUGGUAGAGUCGUAGAUGGGGAAGGCGAAGAAGGGAGGAGGAAGAAUAUUGAGAAAGAUAAACAACUUCUUGAAGCCU
rnacentral:lncRNA from 1 species